rnacentral:lncRNA from 1 species
UCUGAGUGAUUAUCCCUUAUGGGAUACUCCAAAAUAGAUAUAAAAAUUGAAUCCCGACUGGCGCAAGUAUUCGGUUGAUAGCCCUUACGGGGAAUAAUGAUUGGUCCAGUCUUCGAGCAUAGAAAAUAAUCUCAGAACAAAAUCCAACUUGAAGGUAUGAUCCCUGUGUUUGAGUUGAUAAGCCCCUGAGCAAAUAUAUAGCUUGUCCUUCUGUCAUAGUCAAAAUUGUCCAUUGGCAAUAGCUGAUGCAGUCGACAUGGAGACGAAAUGACUAACAUGAAGAUGAUAUCACCCAUCAAAGCUGACAGAAGAUGUCAGUGGUAGUAAAAACAGUGACACCAAUCAAAGGUGAUGAAGUCGCACAGCCGUGGAGGCAAAGAAACCAGUCGGCAGCGGUCAGGUCAGCUAGCAAUGAAGAUGAAGGUGCCCAACAACAACGACAAAGCAGUCGGUGGCAACGAAAGCAAGUCGAUGAAGACGUAGACGCGCAUCAACGGUGAUGGCAAAAUCCACCAAUCAUGAAGAUGAAGAAAAUAGUCGGCGACGGCAAACGCAUCCGACGGUAAUGAUGAUUAGCGGCAACAAAGAUAGCCGGCUAUGGUGACGAAGUUGCCCAUCAACGGCAGCAGUGUAGGCUAUGUUGAAGAGGCUUGACAGGAUGUUGAUGAAGAUGACGAUGCCGGCGAUCCAAUCAAUAGCGGUGUAGCAGCCGAUGAUAAUGACGAAGACGCUCAUCAGCGUUUGCGUAGUAGGUAACCCGUGAAGGUGAAAUAAUAAGUCGGCGAAGACAUAAUCAGCCAUUAGCAAUAGCGGAGAUGUCAGGGCCGAUGAAGCAGAGAUGCUAGUGAUGAUGUCAGUGACAAUAAUCCAUCAAACUAUUGAGAAGAUAUCAAAGCUCGAGUAGUUUCCUUGAUGCGAGCGUGUGCAUAACGAAGACUGAUGCAACGCCCCUUGAUUUAUAAAGAUGCCAGUAGAACUUGGUCUUGUAGCUGUUGCAGAUGCUUCACUUGGAGGAAAGUAUAUGCUGUUGUCCAACUCAACAAAACUGAGCUGAUUGGUUGAUAACUCUAAACUCCCGGACAUGUAGAUUAAAUCUCAAACUUGAUAGUUGAAAAUUUUAGAGUAAAUUGUGGCAGCGUCUAGAAAUCCAAAUGCCGGUGUAAUAAUUGGAGUCGCUGAAGUCAAAUUUCGGCUCUGAAGCGAAGAUAAAGAUAAUAACUCCUAGAGUUGACUCAUUGAUUGAUUGAUUACUUCAUCUUGACAUAAAACUUGUCGAAUUUUGAGUCUUGUAUUUGUGUAGCCCCCGACUCUUUGGUUAGUUGGAAAGCAAUUGAACAUAGAGUCGAGAACUAUAGCUUCCUGUCGUCGAACAGCCAUCACUAGAGUGAAGAUGCAUGUUGAAGAUGUCCAAGUAGAAAUAUUGAAGAUUGUAACACCACUUGUUGUUGUAAAAUAACACGACAUCAUAUUUGGUGAGGCAUGCCGAGAUGUUGAGGCUCUUGUAGAUGUCGUGGUUGGUGAAGCAGCAAAACUUGCGAAGUAGCGGCAAUUGGUUUUGCCGGUGCAGAAGACAAUAAAGAUAAAGUCGCUCCACCAUGGUGAAAAGGUUGCAUAGCCAUGAUGAAGUGAACACGAGUCGACGGCAACAGAAGCAAACUGGUAGCGAAGACGCGUAGUUGUGAAGAUAAAAACACUAGUCGGCGGCGGCUUAACCAGUCGGCGACGGAAGAAGUAGAAUGAUGACGAAAAUGAAUAUGUCCUUGAAUGGCAGCAAAAUAGGCCAGCCAUGAAAGUCAAGGCACCAUGGGCGGCGGCGAAGGCAAACAGGCGAUGAGGAUGACGCUAGUCAAUGAUGACAAAGACGCGCGGCCGUCGAGGCGAACAAGCCAGUCAGCGUCAGACAAGACGGCCAGCAAUGAAGACGAUGACGUCCAUCAGUAGUGGUAGUGGUAUAAACCAGCCGUAGAGGCGAGGACACCAGUCAACAGCAGACGAGACGACUGGCGAUGAAGAUGAUAAGGCCAAUCAACACUGGCAGAAUCAUGCAGCCAUGGAGGUGAAGAAACCAGUCGGCAGCAGACGUAGACAGCUUGCAUUGAAGAUGAUGACGCCUAUUAGCAGUGGCGACGACGUGGCCAACCGUGAAGACGGUAGCACCAGUAGGCAUCAUACGAGGCGGCCGGUCGGUGAAGAUGUUAACGUUCAACAACGGCGACAUAAUAGGCCAGCCGUGCAGGCGAAAACACCAGUCGGCGGCGGAGGAGGCGGCCGGUCGGUGAAGACAUAGACGCCCAACAUCAGCAGCAUAAUAGGCCAACCGUGCAGGCGGAAACACCAGUCGGCGGCGGACGAGGCGGCCGGUCGGUGAAGACGUAGACGCCCAACAACGGUGGUGUGACCAACCAACCGUAUAGGCGAAGACACCAGUCGGCGGCGAACGAGGCGGCCGGUCGGUGAAGACAACGACGCCCAACAACGGUGGUGUGACCAACCAACCGUAUAGGCGAAGACACUAGUUGGCGGCGGAUGAGGGCAAGCCGGUGGUGAUGUUCUGACUGAUCCAUUCCUGGAGCGUAGGAGAUAAGCUUAAAGCCAUGAAUCCCUUUUAUGCAUAUCUGGAUCUGGAUCCUAAAGAACAAACAUAUAGGAUGAGUAGUAUCUGAUAUAAAUAUAAUACUCGAGGAAAAUUUAAGUAUUUUAAAAUAUUUAUAAAUAUGUAUUUCUCCUCUUGUCAAUUUUGAUUUCUCCGAGCAGAUGACUCCUUACGUUUAAACACUCUGCCUAACUAGUCAUAGUCCCCAAGCAUUGGGAGUCGGCUUAGGCACUUCCCAAACAUGCAUAUGAGGGACAUGAGUUCGUCAUUAAUGGAACAAAGUUUCACGGAUCAGAGUUUACUACUCGGGUACUUUUACAAUUAUUAAGAGCAGAAAAUAAAUUAUUUUAUCUCUAUGCUUUUGAUUUAUUCCGAGUAAUACUUAGCACCUUGCGUUACUCGGUCCAUCCAACGAGCCCCCGGUGCUAGGAAUCGGCUCAAUGGCAACUAUCCAUUGGCAAACCAAACGGAAAUCAUAGGAAGAUGGAACUCCAUAACUCGAUAGGCACUUUUGUACUCAGAUUAUGUCGCGAGCAAUCAAGAUAAAUAGUAUGAAAAUUGUUGAAAAAAUAUGAUAUAACAUCUGUAGCCACCGACUCACUAGUCAACGGCAAACCAGUUGAUGUAGUGAGGCAGAGAAAAAAGAAAAUAUCAUAUAAAGAAAAUUUAAUGAUGACUUAGCUUUGUAAUAUUCCCCUUGGUGAUGGCAGAGGUGGCCAAUGUGGGAACAAAGUCGUCCAUCAAUAACAAUAAAGACACCAGUUGGCGGCGGCGGGAGCAAGCCGGUGGUGUAGAUGACGAGGUCCAUCAAUGGCGGCGGAGUCCACCAACCGUAUAGGCGAGGACACCAGUCGGCGGCGACGGAGGCAGGCCGGCAGUGAAGUCGAAGACGCCCAACAACGACGGCAUAAUAGGCCAACCGUGUAGGCGAGGACACCAGUCGGCGGCAACGGAGGCAGGCCGGCGAUGAAGUCGUAGACGCCCAACAACAGCGGCAUAAUAAGCCAGCCGUGUAGGCGGAGACAUCAGUCGGCAGCGGCGAAGGCAAGUCGGUCGGUGAAGCCAUGGACGCCCAUGAACGGUGAUGUGACCAACCAACCGUAUAGGCGAGGACACCAGUCGGCGGCGACAGAGGCAGACCGGUCGGUGAAGACGUAGACACCCAACAACGACGGCAUAAUAAACCAGCCGUGCAGGCGGAGACACCAGUCGGCGGUGGCGAAGGCGAGCCGGCGGUGAAGACGUGGACGCCCAUGAACGGUGGUGUGACCAACCAACCGUAUAGGCGAGGACACCAGUCGGCGGCGACAGAGGCAGGCCGGUCGAUGAAGACGUGGACGCCCAUGAAUGGUGGUGUGACCAACCAACCGUAUAGGCGAGGACACCAGUCGGUGGCGACAGAGGCAGGCCGGUCGGUGAAGACGUGGACGCCAUGAACGGUGGUGUGACCAACCAACCGUAUAGACGAGGACACCGGUCGGCGGCGACAGAGGCAGGCCAGUCAUUGAAGACGUAGACGUCCAUGAACGGUGGUGUGACCAACCAACCGUAUAGGCGAGGACACCAGUCGGCGGCGACAGAGGCAGGCCAGUCGGUGAAGACGUGGACGCCCAUGAAUAGUGGUGUGACCAACCAACUGUAUAGGCGAGAACACCAGUUGGCGGCGGACGAGGCGGCCAGCGGUGAAGACAUAGAUGCCCAACAACGGUGAUGUGACCAACCAACCGUGAAGGCGAGGGCACCAGUCGGCGGCGAUGACGGCGGCCGGCAGUCAAGACAAUGUCGCCAUCAGCAACGGCGGCGGAGUUCAUCAACCGUGGAGGUGAAGGCACCAAUCAAUGGCGGCGGAUGCCACGUAUGUAUGUGCACACAAAAAUAACAGAUCAGAAAAUAAUUAGAAAUCUGUGAAUUAGAUGACUAGAAAAAUCAAUAUUAAUUCUAGAUUAUGUAAGAAAAUUAAAACGAUAGACCUGGUAAAUGUUUGUCACACAAACUCUUAAUGAUGCACGUAUGUCAUCGGCGUGCAGGGCCAGAUAUGAGUCCGGAGUAUGCAUGGCUGAGUCCGAUCAGUCGGCUCCGAGCCCACAUCAACUCCGAUUCAUGUUAAUAAUUGAAUCUCGCCAGAAACUUUGAUAUUUGACGAGAAAACAUUGGCGGUGGCUGAGAGUUGAUGUAUUUCUUGGUAGCGGCUGAGCCAUGUAGAUCCUCGUAUAUGCUGACGUCGGAGAUUGAUGUGAUGAAUGUAGCGGUUGACCGGAGGCUGACCGAAGUCAGAUUGGAUUUGAAGUUGGCUGCUUGGAGAGCUUGGAAUAGAUCACUGCAGUGUUCGGGAGAUCGAACAGGAAUUUGCUGAAAUUGUCGGCGGCGAGAAAGUCAAACUCCUCAUGCAAGAAAUCUGCCCUGAAGUGAACACAAAGCCGGCGACUCAUGGAGUUGAUUCCAUCGCACUUCUCGACGGGAAAUUCGACGCAACCCCUACCUGGCGCGCCAACUGUCGAAACAUGAAUUUAGCAAUAAUAAAAGAGGGUAGCGCACGAGACCUAAAAGUGGAUGGAUGCGGAGACAAGAAUUUAGACAGGUUCAGGUCCUCUCAAUGAGAGGUAAUACCCUACUCCUGUUUGGGGAUUUGAAUCCGCCGGGUGUAGUAUAGAUCUGACGAUCAUAUUCUGUCAUACCCCCUAGAGGGGGCCUCCUGCCCACCUUAUAUAGGGUGAGGAGCAAGAUUACAUGAUAGAAAUCUUAACCAAUACGGUAUCGGUUUCCUAAAUAUACUUUACAACAUUAUCAAAUCAGGACUCUAGGCUGUUCCAUAAUAUACAAGGAAACGUAAUACCCAAGUCAUGAUCUGUUACAUAUUUCAUAGAUAUGAGUUAUCCCCUAUAACUAGUCGGAUAACCAUGCCGUGUGGGUAUGUGGUACCCAUAAUCUCCACACUAGAUAUAGUUUCUAUAAACUCCACAUCAUCAAGAAACUAGUACUAGACCCUACUCUUCCAAUGCAAACACCACUAUUCCAUACUUAACUUUAAUGCUACUUAUCUCACAUGGUGUCUUGGAUGUUAUGUAGAAACCAUGUCUCAUGCAAGACAUGGUUUCCUUCUCUUUCCUCAUUUAUUCACUUGCCACAUCAUUUUUCAUCCUAGGUGGCUGCUUAUUUAAUGCUAUAAACACCAUCUUAAGGGCAGUCACAACUCUCCAUCUAGGAUGGUGUCUAUGGCAUUAACUACAUUGCCAUGUAGGACUUUUAGCUUAUGUGGCACUAUAUUAAUUAAGAGAGAGUGAAGAGAGGAAGAAACUGGAUCUUAUGCAAGACACAGCUUCAACACGAGAACCUAUGCACUAGACACUAUCAAGUUUUGCAUUGGGAGAGAAUAGUGUCUUCAUAAUAGACGAAGAAUAAAUAUAAUUGGUAGAGAAGAGAGAUGAUGUAUUUAUUAAUGGCCCACUCUAAGAAAUCAUGGGUUGUGGAGUGUAGUUUCUAUUGUGAUGUCUUAUUGACAUGGCACCAUGGACACUACUUAUGGACACUAUGGGUUGGGACUGCCCUAAUCAUUGGGUUGGGAAUGGCCUAAUACUACUACCACUAGUACAUUAUUACUACUACUAGUAAUACUAGUAGUACUAUUAUUGUUUUUAUAUGUAUAUAUACACGUAUACAAAGUUUAUAUAUGACGUAUACAAAAUUUAUAUACGUGUAUACAAACUUUGUAUACGUGUAUUUUUUUUAUAUAUGUGUAUGUAUAAAAAUUAAAAAAUACACAUAUAUAUAUAUAUAGACUUUGUAUACGUGUAUACAAAGUUUGUAUAUACCCAUAUACAAACUUUGUAUAUGCGUAUACAAAAGUUUUGGGUUUUUAUAUACGUGUAUGUAUAAAAAUAAAAAAUACACAUAUAUAAACUUUAUAUACGCGUAUACAAAGUUUGUAUAUACCCGUAUACAAACUUUGUAUAGGCGUAUACAAAGGUUUUUGUAUACAUAUGUAUAAAGACGAAAAUAACUGAAAACAUACGAAAAGAAAAAAAGAAAAAACAAAAAAAGGAAAGAAAAAAACAGGAAAAAGAAAAAAGAAACCGUCCGCCAGAAAAAAAAAUUUCCACGCGCCGUACUCCGCCCUCCUCUCCGCGCACGACACGUGUCCAGUCACGCUUUGAACGCUAAUUAGCGUUCUCGGGCGGCGGUGGGGUUUGAAAGAAACCCAUCGACAAGGGGGUUUCAAUCCACUGCUUGCGUUUCAAUCCAGCCGCGUGGCACUAUAUCGAUUUUAAGGGAAUAAAAUAAUAAAAGAAAAGGGAAAACUUGGCCUCAAGAGAAUAUAUCUUUGAGAGCAAUCAGAAAAGUGUUCUGAUAAAAACGACUUCACGCUGAUUCAAUUGUCAUCCAAUUUCUCGAUUUAUCUGUCGCCCUCUUGGUUCCGUAGCUCCAUUGGCAUGCACAUCCAAGCUCCCUGAUGCAAAGAUGGAGACAUGUUCAUGAGUAGAUUUCGGGAUUGCUCUCAGCUAUGCAAUCAUGCAAAUAUAUAAUCCCAAUCAUUUUAUAUUAAUCAUAAAUAUUAAUUAGUUUCUACCGUUGCAACACACGGGCACAUUUGCUAGUCGAAUAAAAGAAUCCAAAAUCGUAGCUAAGCGUGACCUGAAUGUUGAUCUUAUAUUACAGGCGUGGAACAUAUAGCUGGAAAUAUGUAUGAGAGCGUGCCUAAUGGAGAUGCAAUUCUUUUGCAGGUAUGAUAGCGUAGUAGCAGAAUCAUUUGGGUUGUUAUAGUCAUAUAGAAAGAAAAUGUUUAAUCAUAUACAGUUUGUGACGCAUGAAAUUUUUGAGAGUACAAAUACAAUAAAACAAUUGAUGCUAAGGUUGAACGAUGUCUCCGAUAUAGCUGUGAAACUAGGAUUUGGCUAGUAGAAAGAACUAAACUCAUGCUAUAAAGAUGGAGAUAAUUCAAAAUUAAUUCAUACAUGCUUAUGCAGUGGAUGCUCCUUAUGUUUAGUGACGAAGACUGCAUCAAGAUACUGAAGAAUUGCCACCAAGCUCUCCCGAAAGGCGGGAAAGUGAUCAUUGUGGAUGGUCUCCUGCCGGAGACCCCAAAUACUAGUCCAGCUGCACGGGAUUCAUUCACCAUGGAUAUGAUCAUGUUUGUCCUCUUCAAGGUAGGAAAACAGAGGACGGAGCAAGAGUUUGCAAAGCUUGCCAAGGAAGCUGGCUUUACCGGUACCUUUCGGUCGACCUACAUAUUCUUGAACUUCUAUGCUCUUGAGUUCAAUAAGCAGCUAUAUACCUAGAAAACAGUAUGGUCUUGAAUAAGAGUUGCUAGCUCGCGUGUGUAUACUUAUGUCUCUCUAUGAUAUGUUUCUAUUCCCAUGUAUGUCCCUAUUGUGUUGUGUCCUACAGCUAAUCUAAAUGUUAAUCUUCGGUAUACCAUAUACAUGUGCUCAUGGUCUCUGUUUGGAUAGACACUACUCUCUCUGUCUCUAAAUAUUUAACGCCGUUGAUUUUUUUAAAUAUGUUUGACCAUUCAUCUUAUUCAAGAACUUUUGUGAAAUAUGUAAAACUAUAUGUAUACAUAAAAGUAUAUUUAACAAUGAAUCAAAUGAUAGGAAAAGAAUUAAUAAUUACUUUUUUUUAAUAAGACGAAUGGUUAAACAUGUUAAAAAAGUCAACGGUGUUAAAUAUUUAGGGACGGAGGGAGUACUACAAAAGAAAUUUGUCUAGACGGGCAAAACCGAUCGCGGAUUUUGUGCCCACCUUUACACAAACGACUGGAAAUCGACAUUUCCACAUGUGGGCUGUGGCCUGGGAGCAUUUCCUUGUACACUGACAGCCAGUGGAAAUCACUGAUAGGCAUUCAAAUUGUAUAGUACCUCAUUUUCAAAAUUUAUGUUUGCACGGACCAUUAGUUUUAUUAAAAAUUUAGUAUUAACUAGAAAAAAAAUGCCCGUGCGUUGCAACGUUUUAAUCUUAUUUUUUUAUAUGGUUUAGUUAAGAUGAAAUUCACUAUGAGAAUUCGCUUGGAUAUAUAUAUUUUUAUAAAAUCAUGGGCUGCAGUUAGGAGUCCGAUCGUCUUAAGUUAGCAUGCGAGUUUUUUAAAACAUAUUUCUUAUAUGAUUCCUGUAUUACCAAAAGUGAACGAUCUUAAAAACCGACUCAAAUACGGAUAUGUAUUUCUAAAAGCAAACGAAUUUAAAAACCGACUUAUACACGGAUGACGUACCAAAAUACCGGUAAAAACAUCUUUAAUUUUUAUAAUAGUAGAGAUACGUAAAAGUACAGGUUAAAAUUAUAUUUUUAUUUGAUGAUAAAACAAAUCAUGACAAAAUAAAUGAUAUUUAUAAAAAAAUGAAUAAAAUGAAUGAUCAAAUGUUAUGUGAAAAGUCAACGGCGUCGUACAUUUUGAAAAUGGAGGGAGUAUAACACAACUGUAAACAGUCACUGCUCUGUUUUUACUAGGUCUGAAUCCACAUUGACGAUGCUAUACAAUUAGCCAUUACACUCUCACUGUAGUAGCUAAGAGAGAGAACAAAUUAACAGACUAUAAAUUCGAAAGUUUUGGAAGAUAAAAACUGUCGAACGUUUUUUUAGAGAUUCCGUAGCUUAAAAUGAAAAGAGUAAUAAGGCUAUUAACGGUAGCAAAUAACAAGCUUCUAGCAAAGAUCAUGGUAACAGAAACAGAGUUUGCCUAGAUUUCAGUAGAAAGCAAAUGCUUAUGCUUGAACCAGUAUUUCAUCACUGCUGUCUGUCCAAAGUCUCUUCACUGCAUUUUUUGCCGUCCAUGAAGUAUGAAUCUCCUAAAUAGGUGAUUAUAAUUAGUCAUCAAGAGUAUCACUAUAAACAAAUUUGUCAAGAAUGAACUGAAAAAACAAGAAAUAUUUGUAACAUAGGACCAAAUCUAAAGUUUAAUAGCUUAUGGAGUCUGUUAAAGAAACUUUUGCACAGUAGAGUACCGUAGCAUACAUGUGAAUGGUGAUAUGUGAACUUUCGAAAUGCUACCUUCUAGACAAGCUGUGCCCAUUCUUCAAGUGACACGAGAGAAUUGGGAUAUAUUGCGUUUGCAAACAAACUUCCAAUUUGUCUCAAAUACAAAUCAAACUAGGGAAAGUUGCGUCACAAAACAACUGAAAAUGAAAUUAAAAAAACAGGGAAUUUACUAAUCGGAAGAACAUAUUAAAAUAAAGGCAUUUCAGGAAGACUCUUGGUUGAAAAAUUCAAAACAAUUUUGGCAUGUUGAGACAUUUUCCUUGCACAUAAAUUGUUUGAGCUAAUCGGAGAUACACCUUACAUGACAAAAUAAGAACAAGGAGGUCAGAGAAGGCAGUACCUAUGUGCACCCUGGCAAUAUGGGAGAUAUUAUUCCAUUCAGGGCUUUCAUAUACUCCAACCUUCUCCUCCAGUUCUUUGCAGCAGCAAGUGAUAUCGAGCUUCUGCAGAGAGGAUGGGAAAUCAGGAAGCGACUGAAGCUUCCUAGCACCAGAUAACAGCAAUAAGUUGAGAGAGCAUAGGUCUCGCAUAUGGAGGGGCAGAGAUUCCAAAGAACUGGCACUGUAAAUCUUCAGGGAUUGGAGCUUUCCACGAUUCUGAAGAAGCCAUUCCUCAGGUAAGCUCUCCAGCUGCGUUCCACCUCUGAUCACCAACCCCUUGGUGUGACAGAGACCCUUGAGUGGCUCAAGAUGCAGUAUGUCUGGCAGAUCAAUUUCAAUAUAGUCUAUCUGCAGGGUGCUAGUAGACGAUGCGUCGGGAGUUUGGGAUGACCCGAUCGCCAUGAGCUUACUACAAGCACUGAUUUUCAGCUCAAGAAGGUAUUGAAGCGAACCAAGACCACCUAAGGAUGACAGAUUCUCGCAUCCUAUUAUCUCGAGAGACUUCAGAGACUUGAGGCUCUUGAACACAUCAUGUGAGGGGAGUGAUUCUAGGUAUUUGCACUUCUCCAACACCAGCUCAGAAAGAUGCGUGAGUCCUUGUAGUGCUCCAAUCAGUGGAAGUUCAAGUUCACCACAGUAAUUGACAUUCAGUUUUUGAAGUGCUAAUGGCAGGAAUGUAUCUCCAACACCUCUCGAUGUCCUCAGCUUUGGACAGUUUCUGAUAUCAAGCUCUCUAAGUUCAUUCAUCUGUUCAAAUACCAAUGGAGCAGCCUCCAGAUCUUCACAAUCUGAGAUGCGUAGGACAUGGAUGCUUUUGAUGUAGUCUCCCUGCACUAGAAGGCUCUCUUCAAGUGAGUUCAGACAUUUACAUUCUUCGACAACUACGACCAGCAGCCUGGAUGACUUGGUCUCGAGGUUCUCGUUGCAUUCCUUUCCUAUCCUAGGAAGUUUGGUCAAACCAACAUUACUUGUUUCAAAAUGAACCAAGGUAGUAGGCAGGAUAGGCAAUGCCCUCAGCUCUUUGCAGCGUCUUACUAUCAUAGUGUCAAGAUUUGGAGGAAGGGAUAAAUCAACACAAUUACUACUUGAGGCCUCAGAUGAUUGACCAAUCUGUUGCAAACUAGGAAGGCACUCCAACCAAAGAUGUUUAAGAGAUACUAACUCUCCAAGUGAAGGAAGUUUUUCCCAAUAUAGACAUCUUGCCAACUCGAGUGACACUAAGUUCUUGAUGCAGAGAUUUUCAAUCCAAAUAGGAGACCUUACACCACCAUAACCUGAAAUUCUCAGUGUUUCAAUAUUAGCAUAUGGCUCAAGGUGAUUAAGAAGCAACUCAUCUUUUCUGUUUUCCACAGCCGCACGUGCUGACCAUGCCAAAGAUAACAAGGUGAUAUAUUUCUUAUCAUUUAGCUCGACAUUGUCAGCUUCUUCAUGGCUCUCAACAUUCUCAAGACCAAGCACCUCUAGUUCACGAAGAGUACUCAAGUUGCUGAUUGCGCUUAUUUUGUUACCUUUGCCACCUUGGAUCCUGUAGUUGUGCAGCUCCUGAAGUGAAGUGAGCCUUCCAAUUGGGAACUCACCAAUUUUGCCGUAAUUCACAUAUCGCAGAUGAUCAAUGUUUCCCAAAUACCUCACUUGUUUUGGCUCUUCGCGAGAACCAUUGAAACAUUUAACUAGCAAUAAGUGAUAAAGUUUCACAAGUCCACAUAUGGUAUCAGGAGAUAUCCUAGGUAGAUCAAUAUAACAGAGGUGCUUUAGAUGAGCAAUUUUUGGAAGAUGAAAUGUAUUCUCCAAAUUUGAUUGCAGUAGACGCAGCGAUUUUGAUUGUUCCAUAACAUUUUCAACUGCAUGAAAUAAAUUGCUGUCAAUCAAACCUGAGCCUUCAAUGAUAACAGUGCGCACAUUCUUAAAAUGUAAGAUCUUCUUAACCUCCUCAGUAGAUAAAUGGUCAAUUCCUGAAAUACAUAGGUGUCGAACUGUAUCCUUCUCAUUUUCCAACAUGCCAGGACUGAUUAUUCUUGCACAUUCCCCAGAAGAUACAUACCUUGCCAAUUCAUGCAUUAAGUCAUGCAUUAUGUAAUAAUUUUCUUUCCUUUGACUAUACGGAUCUACUUUGAUAUUGGUUUCAAAGAAUGAUUUCCCAGCUAAUUGAGCCAAGAUCUGUUCUCCAAUGUCCUCAAGCCUUUUUGGUGGUUUAUUUCCAGCUUCUGAGAUCAGUCCUGAACCUAUCCACAUCAGCACUAGGUCUUUCAUUUUAAAUGCAUAAUCUUGCGGGAAUAUACUACAGUAUCGAAAGCAAAUCUGAAGGUCGGUUGGUAGACAGUAGUAGCUUAGUCUGAGGACUUCCAUAAUAUCAUCUUCACUUCCUUUAAAAUGUUGCAAACCUUCUUGCAAGAAAUUGUUCCAGUGUUGAAAACUCAUAUUGCUCCGCAAAUGGCCACCGACAACCUUUGUUACCAGGGGACAUCCUCCUAGUUUCUUCACAAUUUGUUUGCCGACUGAUUUCAAAUUUGGAAAAUCUUGUGGAUUCUGACCAGAAAAUACAGAAUGACUGAAGAGCUCAAGAUUUUCACCUUCUUCUAGUCCUUCUAUUGACAAGAACUCUGUUUCAAUUCCCAUGGCUUCUGUGGCCAAAACAGCUACUGACUGCAUCCGUGUUGUUAACAAAAUUUUGCUCCCACUCUUCCCUGUCCUUAGAGGAGCAAACAACUUUUCCCAUUUAUCUAUUUUCUUAUCUUCCCACACAUCAUCUAAAACAAGCAAAAAAUCAGUAGAAUACUUCAGUUUGUGUAUUAGGCUUUGCUGUAGUGUCUCCAAACAAUUAGCAUUAGGUUUUGCCCCCGUAGCAGAUUCUAGUAUUUUACUUGUCACAGAUGUUACAUCAAAGCGAUCAGAUACACACACCCAUAUAACCUUGAAAUUCUUCCUAACCAUUUCUUCACAAACACGUUGAGCCAACGUAGUCUUCCCCAUGCCACCGUGACCAAUUAACGACAGAAUAGGAAUAUGGUUAGUGCUCAUCAAAUUUCCAGAAGCGUCAGUUGAUGCCUUUGUCAGCCAUCUAACUAUCUUUUCUUUCUCCUUUUCUCGUCCAACAAAUUUAGGUGGAGUUAAUGUCAAACCUGUCGCACGAUCAUCGUUCGUUGAAUACUCCUGCUGCUGACUACACGAAGCAACCUCUUUGAGAUGUUCUGUGACUGUGAGAAUGCUCAUAAUAUCUGAAGCAACCUUGUCUAAACCCUCCACAGCUUCCCUCAACCUCUUGAGAGUGCCCCGGUGAGUAAAUUGUUUCAAAUUCUUGUCCAAAAUACUGACAUGUUUAACAGACUUAAUAACUUUGUGCUUCACCUUAGAGAAAGAGGAACCCCAGACACUAACCUUGUGGUCCUUUGCCAUUUCUUUGAGUUUGUAGUACUCGAGCACAUCGAUCACGUCCUCAGCCUCCUCAACUGCGUGCCUGAGCUGCCAUAACCAUGCAUCUAGUGCACUGCUCUGUUCCUUUACAUACCUGGGAUUGACAAUAUCGAGAACGACCUGGAUCUUCGGCAUCGACUGCAGUAGCCUGUUCUUAAUAUCUUCGAUGCCUUCAACCUUGUACUCUUUCAGGUAGGUGAAAGCCUUGUUGAUCCAGAAGGAGAUGGCUGCAGUUGCCACUGCCUUUCCAGCAAACACUAGUGCCAUAACAGAAGCUAUAGAGAAAGAUCUCUAUGGAGAGAUUAGUAUAUUACAGCAUAUGGAGAUGCACGUAAAAAUUUGCAAGAGAAGAAGCAACACAAAGAGAGAUUCAAGAUGAAGAUGGCUACUGUAGAAGCACACAAAGGAAAAAAAUCCUCUCCAUGCACAUGUCAAUGUAACUAUAUCACAGGCUCAUAUGCAUCAGGAUCCCAAAUCUUGUGCAUCUAAAUAGGAGGCACAGUUCUAGUACCUGUAACAAUGGCAUCUUCAGUCUGCAGCUUUGUUAAUUGUCUUGAGGGUGACUGGACUAGAUGGAGUAUCUCUGAAGAAAUUUCAUAGUUGGGAACCAGUCAAUGCCAUUAGUUAUGUCCAGACUAUGGAUGUGGACAGCACAGCACUCAUUUGAUUUAACUACGCCUACUUGCAGUACUUUGUUGCUAAGUCUUCUGACUGCAAAUUUGUAUAUAUGUGGCUCAAUUUUUCCACUCAAAGGGAAGUGCUCCCUACUUGUCUGACUUCCCGCUUUCCUAUAAUCUUGUAAGAAAAUAGAAAGCCCACUUGUACUACCUCCUGUAUUUUUAUGGUGCAGAUUGCAGAUCAAUCCCUCUGGUGAAAAAGUGGCAUGCUAGCUAGCAACAAAAUUAUUCUGAUUUUAAUGAACUUUUGGACAAUCCAUAUGAAAUAUGUAUGUAUAAGUGUUGGGAAAGAUUUUUCGUAGCAUAAAUAUCGUUAGAUUUUUUUUCUCAAAAUAUAUUACAAGAAAAUUGUUGGUCGAUAUUGUUAAUUUUCUAUACCGUCCUGUCUAAGCCAUCACAUUUCUGUGAUGAGAUCUAGGAAGUUAACUAGUAUUUAGAUGAGAAACAUCCAAAGAAUUAAUAGGUUCAGAAUUCCUCAUUCUGAAGUGUUCCCUCACCAAAAUAUCUGGUUCUGCCUCCGCCAUGUAAGCAAUUACAAAAAUGCUAGUAUUAGCUUAUAAAACCGGCAUUUCCAACAUUACAUGUCAGUAUUUACAGACCCGCGCACUACACAACCAAAUCUUAGUGCAUUGUCUGUAUAAGAUUGUAGGGUAAUUUUAUCAUGCUUGAGAAAGUAUCAUAUUUUCUAGUGUAAAAUUUAAUAUCUCUAGGUACCAAAAAUUUUAAUGUAAAAUUUAGGUACCUUAAGGUACUUUUUCAAGUACAGUAAAAUUCCUUGAGAUUGUAAUAUGAGGGGUACUUUUUUUUUUCCUCAACAGAUUCUACUAUGAGGGGCUAUUUUUUUCCCUAUGUUCCAACCAUACCGCUACAUGAGAUGUAUAAUAUAAAGUCUACAUCGGUAAGAAACCAACCUAUAUGUAUCACUGGCGACAUCCAAAUCGAAGUUUCAUGCACUCCUUCGGUCCAACCGUGACAUUCAGCAAGAACAAGCAAACCAAACCAUGCCUGCUCUAGCAAAGCUCAGAAGAUAAAAGUGUGCACUGUCUAAGAGAUAAGCAAAGCUGAGAGCCUGAGAACAAGCGAGCCGCAUUUGCGUUGCAUCCUACUGCAUUUCUCUACUUACCUUCGCAGGGCGGGCAUCGCGGCGGGGCGAUCGGGUGGGGGUCGUCGGCGAGCGCAAACCUCGAUCCACCACCUCCCGGUCGAGGCGGCGCCGCCUACUCGGGCCUCUUCGGGUCUCGGCUCGCCGUAGCCGCGUGAGGUGGGGGGGUGGCUUCGCGGCGGAGGACGGUGGUGGGAGAAGGUGCGGCGGCGGAGGAGGAAGAAGCGCGGAAAGCCGUUCGAUCGAAACUAGUAUCUUGGACGGCUGAGAUUGACGCAAAGGGGAGGACAGAUGCAGGGAUCGAACACACGUAUUCCAAAUUUUAUUCUGACCUGCCCAAAACCUUGGUGCAAAAUUAAUCAUAGUUCCCUUUGAUCUACCCAUUGCAAUAGAGAGCACAAGUGUUUUGGAGUAAGCUUCAACUACCUCCAUCCCAAUUUUAUUUUUUUUUCAUAAAUAUUUGGGUUUUUAAUACUAUUUUCCCACAUGAUUAUCCUAUUUAAUUUUUACCAAAACUUACCCUAUUCCUAACUAUCCUCUCACUUAGUCUUGUAUGGUAUAGGCAGCAAAAAAAAAUCAUAAGACAAAAAAAAAGAUCAUAAGACAAAAAUUGAUUGUAAAAUAAGACCAUUCACAAGUCACAACACCACAUCACAUAGGAGCUAUGUUUUUAACUCAGUUUGUAUGGGUGGCUUGAGCAAGACAUGUGUGUCUUUUGUAAGGUGUGAGUGCUUUAGCCAGCCCUCGAACCUAGCAAGCGAAGCCAUGGCUUAAGGAGCCGCGAUGGACACGUUCGUGUGUUUGCCGCACGCUUUUUGGCUAGCCAGUGCGUGAACUUCCUCCCAAUCAUCGACUACGUUUGAUGUCACGACUACGGUAUUUAUACAGUAUGGGGAUCGUUGGUACUAGGAUAUAUGCGAGAUUGUAAUAAAAGAUAUGGGGACGAGGAUUUUUAUACAGGUUCGGGCCCCUGAAUUGUUAGGUAAUAACCCUACUCCUGUUGGCCGAAGCCGGUCAUUGCUCUUAUUCACCAUAAUCACACCAGUACAAUAUUUGGGGUAGCCAAUCUAACUGUUGUCGACUUGGCGGUCUGAAGUGUUGACUCGUAGUCGACAACAUGGUAGCCUUCCUCCUCGAAUCCGCAUCCGGCAAGAUCAAAGACAGCGCUAUGUCUCUCCUGACAGUAUCCGUAGACACCAUAGGGGACUAGCCAUGCUUAUCUCUGAAGUCGAUAUCCGGCGUCUUGUCUUAGCGCAUGUUGGCUUGUAUAUUGAUCUUGUGUCUUGAUCUAUUGUAUUUAUACCCAUAGGUAUCCCCUUGUCCAAGUAGAACUAGGAAAACCAAUAUUGAUACAAUCCGAGUAGUCCUUGUCGUUUCCAUGUAGAACUCUAUUCAUCCUUCCUUAUGCGGAACUCCUCCUAUAUCCGAAGGUUGUUUCCGUAUAAGACAUGGUAUGUAGUGGGUCCUGCCGAGAUUUAGUCAACUACUAUUAGGUAUGUGGUAUCCAUAACCCUGACAGUUACUCUCUACCUACUAUCGUUCUCCGUUAUCCUCGCAACCUCAAUGCUAUCAUCCAUCCAAGUUCAGCCCCAAUCUCUCAUCCCAAUGACUCAAUACAAAAUUAGUGUAUACAAUAUACUCAUAGGUAAGGAUAGACACGUGGCCUCUUACGGUUUAGGUUGUUUGGGCAGAGAACACAUUUUUCUUUCAUCAAAAUGGAUGCUACUAAGGGAGCAUUAGCUGACUUUAUAGCUAGGGAGUUUUUCUUUGUCAUAAUUUAAAAUGUUAUUCGUAAAAAUGCACAAGAAAUUCAAAAACAAACUCUCUAGAAAAUGCAAAGAAAUUGAAAAAGUAAACUAAUAAAAAUCUCUUUAGUCUGUCGUCAACAACCACCAUCCUUCCCAACCGUUAACCCCUUCUCCUUCCCUCCCGAAAACCUCCGCCCCACCAUCCAUGGCGAUGGCGUCCUCCUCCCUCGCCGCCGCAAACCACCCCCUCCUCCCCUCCAAGCCGCUCUCCUGCCCCAAGCCCCUCACCCGCGCGACGCCCCUCUCCCGCGCGCUCCACGCCGGCGCCGCCGCGGCCGCGCGGGGCGCUUCGUCGUCGCAGGCGGAGCUCCGGCCGGACUCCAAGAACGCGCCCGCGCUGUCCGCGGAGCUCCGGAGGCUGGCGCGCGUCGGGAGGCUCCCCUCCGCGCUCGCCCUCCUCGACCACCUCUCCCACCGCGGUGUCCCCGCCACGGCCUCGGCCUUCGCCGCGCUGCUCACCGCGUGCCGGUCGCUCGCCCACGCGCGCCAGGUCCACGCGCACCUCCGCGUCCACGGCCUCGACUCCAACGAGUUCCUGCUCGCCAGGCUCGUCGAGCUCUACCUCGCGCUCGGCGCCCGGGAGGACGCGCGCAAGGUGCUCGACGGGUUGCCCCGGGCGAGCUCCUUCUCGUGGAACGCGCUCCUCCACGGGCACGUGCGCCGGGGACGCGGCCAGGCGGGCGCCGCCGUCGUGGAUGGGUUCGCAGAGAUGCGCGCCGCGGGCGCCGACGCCAACGAGUACACGUAUGGCUGCGUCCUCAAGUCCAUCUCCGGGAGCGCCGCGCCGUCCAUGGCCAUGGCCACCGCCACGCACGCGAUGCUGAUCAAGAACGCCUACGCGGGCGCUCCCAGGAUGCUCAUGACGGGGCUCAUGGACGUGUACUUCAAGUGCGGGAAGGUGAAGCCUGCGGUUAUGGUGUUCGAGGAAAUGCCAGAGAGGGAUGUGGUUGCGUGGGGUGCAGUGAUUGCCGGGUUUGCGCAUAAGGGGAUGAAGAGGGAGGCGCUGGAGCAUUUCCGGUGGAUGGUGGAGGAUGGGAUCAAGGUGAACUCUGUGGUGCUUACGUCAGUUGUGCCUGUCAUCGGCGAGUUGCGUGCCUGGAACUUGGGUAGGGAGAUCCAUGGUUUUGUGCUGAAGAAGUUCCAACAUCGUAAGGAUGUUGGAAACAUUCAGGCAGGGUUGGUAGAUAUGUACUGCAAGUGUGGCGAUAUGGUCUCUGGGAGACGGGUGUUCUAUAGCGCUAAGAAGAGGAAUGUUGUCUCAUGGACGGCACUGAUGUCUGGCUAUGCAUCCAAUGGCAGGCCUGACCAGGCGCUGAGGUGCAUACUUUGGAUGCAACAAGAAGGAAUCAGACCGGAUCUUAUAGCCGUGGGGACUGUGCUCCCAGUAUGUACGAAGUUGAAAGCAUUGAGGGAAGGGAAAGAGCUUCACGCAUAUGCCUUGCGGAGGUGGUUCCUGCCAAAUAUUUCCUUGUGCACUUCACUGAUCACUAUGUAUGGUACGUGCAGUCACUCGGAUUACUCUCAACGGGUGUUCCAUGUCAUGGACAAGAAGACUGUACAAGCUUGGACAGCAUUGGUCGAUGCGUACCUAAAGAAUGGUGAUCCUUCAACUGCUGUUGAUGUGUUCAGAUCAAUGCUGCUCUCAAACCGCCGGCCUGAUGCUGUUGCAAUCAGCAGGAUGUUGAGUGCCUGCCGUGACAUUGGGGCAUCAAAACUUGGCAAGGAAUUGCAUGGUCAAGCGUUAAAGUUGCGGAUGGAACCUCUCCCCCUAGUUGCAGCAGGGCUAGUUAGCAUGUAUGGCACAUGUGGAGACCUCAAGGCAGCGCAACGGGUUUUCAACCGGAUUGAGUCCAAGGGAUCCCUUACUUGCACUGCCAUAAUAGAAGCUUACGCAAUCAACCAGAGACACAAGGAGGCACUGGAACUCUUUGCUUGGAUGCUGUCAAACAGGUUUGUUCCAAAUAAUGGCACCUUUGAUGUGUUGCUGAGAAUCUGUGAAGCGGCAGGGUUGCAUGAUGAAGCUCUUCAGAUUUUCAACUCCAUGGUGCAAGAAUACAAUCUGGAAGCGUCUGAACAUAAUUUUGACUGCAUUAUACGGCUUCUCACUGCUGCAGACAGGACUUCUGAAGCACAUCGGUUUGCUGAUCUGAAAGCUACUCUGUUUAAUUUAUCAACUCCCUCUUUGAAUUGCUAACAGCAGUAAAUCUGUAUAUAACGCCACAUUUGAUUUGUUGAAAUGACUGAUACUCCUUUUCUAUUGUCUGAAAAGGUAAGCUUGGUAUUCGUUUUUCAAGAAAAGAUUAAAUAUCAAUGGCAUGCUAAAGUUAGUUACGAUCUGCCACUCUGACUUCAAGAAUUCCCAUUUGCUUAAUUAAUUAUUAAUGUAAGAAGGGUCUAACAUUUACUGUUAGUUGCAUUCGAGUUGUCAUCCAUAUUUUUAACAAGAAAUUUGUUACUUUGCUUUCGUCUAACCUGUCAUUAGUCACUAGGCUGAUAACUAAGUAUUAAUCUUUGCUAUUGUAUGUAAAUUUUGAACAGUAAAUGAUACUGUUGGAUUAUUCUCUCACCAUCAAUUUGCUUUAGCAAAAUUAAUAAUAAACUAUGAGCUUUAUUUUAGUAAUUAUUGAAGUUGAUAUGAUUAUCAUUGUGUUAUCAAUUCAUCUUUGUUAUCGUCUUUCUUAUGCUAGAAAUGUAGAGAGUUCCUUAUGCAUCUCUCUAUCUGUAGCAACAUUCAUCUAUUUUAAUUUACAAACUCGUUAAUUGAUGUAAACAUAAGGUUACAAGUUAUUCUAUCUACAAAAGAGUAUAAAGGCAUAGUCAUGUACUAUUUUAAGAAAACCAAAGUGUUAACUAUAUUUAGUUGUCGGUAAAUUAUUCGAGCCAUUCCUCUUCAAGUUCUCCCAUCCAUUCAUUCACUUCAUGCAUUCAUUUCAUACUCUAUUAUUAGUUACCUCUAAUGGUAUGCUGUUUUGCUUUUGAGAAUUUUUCCAUUUUUUAUGUGUUUUGUUAGGAACGAGAGAGAAAGAGGGAGAGAAGUAACUUAAUCAAACUCUCAAUGUGAAAUCUCUCUGUUGUAAAUCCAAGUUCAGUUUUUCUUACUAUUUGUCACACUUGUUCCUACCUGAAAUGGGUGGAACCCAUAAUGUUUUCUCGAAAGGGAAAAACAGAUUAAUACUAGAUUCUUUGUUCUUGCUUUUGGAAUGUGCCUUCACACCAAGCUGAAAUUUGCGUACUCAUGCCUCCUCCCCAAGGUGAGUCUUUUAACCAAAUAGUGUUCUUUAGUUACUUUUCUCAUUUUUACAGUUUUUUUGGGUUAGUUUGAUGGGAAGAAAGAAAUUAAUUGUGCACCAACCUUGUUGCCUUAUGUUCAUUUUAAUUAUUUCUAUGAAUUCACUUCUCCAUAAAUCUUACUUGAGUUUUCUAUUUGAUACGAUUGUAUUUUUUUGUCCUAAAAUUUGGUGAAACAUGUGAAUUGUUUCCAAAUUACCUGAAAAAUGAACAGCCACAUGGAAAAAUGUGUUGUUUUGUAAGAGUAUGAUCAGGUCAUCAGAAGAUUAAGAAGCUUACACAAUGAUGAUUUCUUGUCAAGUGCAGAUAUUUGGAAGAAACUCUGUCAAAAUUGGUCUCAAUUUGAUCCACUCAUUCAAGAAGGCAUCUUAUGUGCUUAUGGGCUGCCUUUGCUCCAAAGGCGCAAAAGAUGAUACCGAUGCCACUUCUGAGAACAAAACACCAUCGAGGAAUUCUGCUGCAGCAAGUGCUAAGACAGCAACCGGUACAAAUGAUGGCAACUCAGCUGUGAUUGAUGGACAGCUGAAAGAAAAUGCAAGUAAAUUGCAAUUGGGUGAUGGAGAGAAGGCGAUCGUAGCUCUAGAUGUUAGGACCGGUAGUGGUAACAAUGCAGAACUGAAGGGGCUCUCAGGUGAGCAUGUAGCUGCUGGGUGGCCUGCUUGGCUCGCAAAUGUGGCACCAAAAGCAGUAGAAGGCUGGGUGCCUCGGCGAGCCGAUUCAUUUGAGAAAUUAGACAAGGUAAAUAUACUGAUUCGAUGACACCAGAUAUAUAUCCUUCAUUUCUUGAGAUACAAAUUACUCUAAAAAUCGAAUGAUUUUUUUGAGUUGCAGAUUGGACAGGGAACUUAUAGUAUUGUAUACAAAGCUCGGGAUCUUGAAACAGGAAACAUUGUUGCACUAAAAAAGGUGCGGUUUGUCAACAUGGACCCUGAGAGCGUGCGCUUUAUGGCUAGAGAAAUCAAAAUCCUUAGGACACUGGAUCAUCCAAAUGUCAUAAAGCUUCAAGGGAUUGUAACAUCUCGCGUAUCGCAAAGCCUGUAUCUUGUCUUCGAAUACAUGGAACAUGACCUUUCUGGUCUCAUUGCAACUCCUGGCCUCAAGCUCUCUGAGCCACAGGUGGUUGUUAUGCUUCUCUUACAUGGAUUUUUUAGAAAAUUCAUCUUACAUUGAUAUCGUUUAAGAAAAUUGGAUGAACUAAAAUGAUUAAACAUGAAUAUCAGAUAAAGUGCUUCGUUCAGCAGCUGCUUCAUGGCCUUGAUCAUUGCCACAAAAAUGGAGUUCUUCAUAGAGACAUCAAAGGCUCAAACCUUUUGAUUGAUAACAAUGGAGUGCUGAAAAUUGCCGACUUUGGACUGGCAAUAUCUUAUGAUCCCAAGAAUCCACAACCGCUGACAAGCCGUGUUGUGACAUUGUGGUACAGACCACCAGAACUUUUGCUCGGUGCAACAGAAUAUGGUGUGGCUGUUGAUAUGUGGAGCACAGGGUGCAUUGUGGCAGAACUCUUUGCUGGAAAACCAAUCAUGCCAGGAAGAACUGAGGUAUUUCUUGUUUUGCCUUGUGGAAUUCCAGGAAAAACAUUUGAUUUUUGAAAGAUAUGAUUUAUGUGUACUAGUCAAAACCUCAUGUGCCUUUUUGCAACAAUGUCAUACUAGGUGGAGCAAAUUCACAAGAUUUUUAAGCUCUGUGGGUCACCCAUGGAUGAUUAUUGCAAGAAAUCAAAAGUGCCAGAGACAGCAAUGUUCAAGCCUCAGCAUCAGUAUAGGCGGUGUGUUGCUGAGACUUUCAAAGUUUUUCCUACUUCAGCUGUUGUUCUCAUAGACUCCUUGCUUUCAUUAGACCCAGAAGCUCGAGGAACAGCUGCCUCAGCUCUUCAAAGUGAUGUGAGUUUCAGGCUUCAGUGCAUAUCUUCUGUUUAGUGUGGGACAUAGCUUUGCAGAGCCUACCCAAAACCUAACAUGCUGUUCUCCUAAAAAAAAAAAAGCCUAACAUGCUGCAAAUGUAGUUGAAACAUGAAACUAAAAUUCUCUUAGCAGUUUGUGAAAUCAACGAAUGACCAAAUCUGUGUUCCAUCUUGUGUGAACAUUAUGCAUUUAUAAUACUUUGCUUGUAGGAAUGCCUUCAGAUUUGUAGCACUAAUACCAUAUCUCAAACCAAUUUCAGUUUUUCACAAAAGAGCCAUUUGCAUGCGACCCAUCAAGCCUGCCAAAACUUCCACCAAGCAAGGAGUAUGAUGUUAGACUGAGGCAAGAGGAAGCCAGGAGGUACACUUUGCCAACAUAGCCAAAAACCUUGUGACUUGUGAAGCUCAAUGUGGUGCCAACACCUGACUUCUUGUUCUUGCAGGCAAAAAACCGCAGCUCUUGCCGGACAAGGAGCUGAAUCUGUCAGGCCAGAAAAUGACAAUCGUGUAACGAAUCGUACUAUUAGUGGUGUUAAUGGUGAAUUGAAGGUGGGUAUAAGUGGCUAAUCCAAAUUACUGCCCAAGUUUCAAUUUACUCGAUCAUUUUAAACAUAAAUAUCAGAACAUUUGGUUGCUUUAUGGUAUUUUUCACCGCGCCAUGUUUGUUCUAUGGUUCUAAACAUCUUUUUGCAAACUCAAUGCUUCAGUUUUCUUUAACAAAUUUCAAAACAUUUAUAUUUUUCAAAAGUUCAUCUCACCAACUCUGCCUGACAUGCAGCAACAAACACACACCAGCUCAAAGAGCAACAGCGAGGUGUUCAACCAAGAGGACAGUGUUCCAGGGUUUAGGGUGGAACCACGGGAACGUCCAACUGCGGUGCAGCUCCCUGGGUACAGUUCCACAUGGAACAACAUGGAGGGCGACAAUGACCAGCCAACAGUACCUGGCCGCGCUUGCUGCUCAGUGCGCGUCGCGAAUCCUUGUGGCAUAAGGAAGAAGGGGUCAUCACACUCGCUCAUACCACAGUUUGGUGCGACCGAUUUGAGGAGCACUGUUGAAGCUACUGAUCAUAACGACUCACCAGACAGGCAUGAUGAGAACAAGAACCCAGAAGUCAAGGACGGCAUGGUAAGCAUAGCUUUGCUGCUGCUAGAGCAAAUACUGAUGAAAUCCUGCAAUUCUGCACGAGGAUAAAAAGAUUGUAUACCAUGAUUUUGUUUUAUCUCACAUUUCUUGUGCAUUUGCCGUUGUGAUCAGAACCAUGGGAGGAAGUACAGAAGGAUCCACCACUCAGGGCCAUUGAUGCCGCCAGGAGGGAACGUUGAGGACAUGCUCAAGGAGCACGAGAGGCAGAUCCAAGAAGCCGUUCGCAAGGCGCGUGUCAGCAAGCCAGGCAGGUAGCUUAAGUAGUUGGAAGGUGCCUUGGAAUUCUGAGAAGAUGGACCAGAGUUCAGAGGUUGCAACCUCCUAUCUUCUCCUGCAAUUUCAGGCUGCUGCAAAAGCCCAUACGUAGAGUUUUAGCUUGUAACAAUGUGUUAUCAGGUAGGAUAUAAUCACCAUGUAAGAUUGAAGAACAUGACUGGAUUUAUAGAAAUUUUCCCCUCAUAGCAGUACCUGAAAUUAAGAGUUUUUGUGAGGUUUUCAACAGUUGGAUUGUGAUUUUUUCCUUAUUUAAUUUGGAGCCCUGCUCUCCUGGAGCAUGAGAAACUGAGCUGGAUCCAAAGGAGAAAAAGAAGAGUUGCUUUGGUGGUGCUUGUGUGGUUCUGCAUCAAGUCGAUGGAAAACGGAAUGAUUCAGAAGGCUAUGGUACAUCUUGCGAGUGAACCCUUGCCGAUGGCCAUCCAUUUGCCUGAGCAGGUACAGAACAAAACCCAGUUGGCACCAAGUGAUCUAUAAUAAUGCUGGAAUGGCUUUGUUUCAAAUUGUUCCCAGAAAACAGGGAAAACAUAGAAGAAUCCGACAUUUGAUAAAUGAAGCAGGCAAAUGGUGCUAGAAAUAUUAUCAUUCGAUCAUGAAUUCUGAUUGCGAGAGUUACAUCAAACCAGCAUACCUCUGGAAACUGAACGACAAACUUACAGAAUUUAUUCUCUAAACUUGCUAUGAUCAACAUCAUUGAGCCGUUGACAACAGAAAGUUGUGCCCUAUAACGUCACAGGUAAGUAGUGCUUUGAGACACACUGGCAGAAGGUUAGACUAAAGAUGAAGUUUCAGUGGUUCUGGCAAAUCUUCAAUUUUGUCCUUUGGACGAUAGCAGCAACAACUAAACUGAGAACACUUCUUGAAGGUCUGACACCAUGUGCAGUUCUUCAUAAGCAAAUUAAGGUUCGCCUCAGAAAUUUUUCUUAGGAGGAUUUAUUCAUCCUUCAGGAGUUUUCUAGCAUCAUCUUUCCAUUUGAUAAAGUUUAGUUCUGAUUGGAACCAAAUUGUUUUUGUAAGUCACUAAAUGAUACAGUAGCAGAACCCCUUCUCUUAGCUUUUUGCUGUGAUGGAUGCUCCUUCCAGCCAGUCAUAUAAAUAACCUGCACAGACAAGAAAAGAACAUUCGAUGACCAUUGGGGUGGCUCAGUCGGAAUAGUAUCUAAUGGGGGUUUUGUAUUGUUAAAUAAUACUCAGAUGUAACAAAAUUAAUAUUAUACAGCACAACUUUACAAAACCUGAAAGGUUGCUGGAACAGUUCCAUCUUCUAGCCCAAACAUUGACUGGUAAAUGGCCGCAGUUGCCAAAGCUGUAUCUUUCUUUAAUAUCUGAUUAUACAAAUACAUACAAAAUCAAAUACCUGAGUAUGAAUUAGAAUUUGACCUAUUUAUUUGACAAGUACUAUAAUAUACUCACAGGAUUUCUUUGAAAGAGAGCAUUUGUUUCCCCCAUCGCUCUAAGAUGUUCAACAAGUUCCAAAGCUAGUCGAUAGAAGCAGUAAUAUCAGGAAUUCAGGAUUCAAGAGAGAUAAGCAACACAUGGAGAUGUUUAAAUGUUCAACACAAUGACAGAAUUUUCAUCAAUAUAAAAGAACUUUUCAGAUAUAGUACUACCAAUCAUUAUUCCAGGAAAAAGAAGUAUACCCAAUCAUUAAUUCUAAUAGGAAAAGUUAGGUACGUGCCACUCUGAAUAUGAUUUAGAAAUGCUCUGAAGUGGCAUGUACCUGAUUUUUCCUUGAAAAUAUACCACUGAUUAGAAAAGGUAAGUUUUGUUUACAAACCACUAUUGUAUUUCACAGUGUAACGGUCAACGUCAACUCCUGGAAGGGUGAAGCCUGCUCUUGUCAAAAGGUUUCCUGCAUCACGGACCUUGAAAAGUGCAACCCAAUAUCACCAUCAGACUGAAUAAACACCAAUAUGUCAAGAUAAAGCAAUAAUGUGAUGCAAUCUAGCUGUUAAGUGGUUGCAAGUCCUAUCUCAUAAGCGAAAGGCCAGGAAUGUGCUUCUGAGAAACUGAUGCCAUAAAAAGGUGUACGAAGCACAAAAUAAUAUCCUGUUGGGGUCAAACUUCAGAUCGCACAGGAAUCUUACUUGUGCUAAAGGUGACAUUCGGGGACUGAUGCCACCCUCACGCUCCAUUUGAGCAAUUGUACAAGCUAUUCUUAGUUCCCUGAUUAUAGCAUCCGGAAAAGGGCAAGUCAAAGGAUAAUUAGGAUAUGCUGAUGCCAUGGUAAAUGUCAAAAUAUUUUAAAGCUUGCUAGGUUAUCACUUAAGAGUCUCUCCACCGAGAAUUGCUGCAAGAAAAAGGCCAUCAGGCUUCAACGACAACCUACACUGCCAUCAAGUAUAACCAGUUCAUUCAACUGAGAAUAGUUGUAUAUUGCAAACUAUGCUAGCAAGAAUCAAACUAAAAAAAAAUUCACCUGUAUCAUUGCUCCAGGUAGAUCAUUUGUCCAAUGAAGCCCAAGACAACUUAUUAUCGUAUCCUGCGAGCUUCAGAGACCAUAACCACAUUAAUAAUGACAUGAGCAAUAUGCAGAUAGGAAGAUCGGGAAACAUUGUUUGACUUAAACUAAAUAAUUGUGAGAACUGCAUGAUAUUACCUUUAUUAAGUAGAAAUGUGGAAAGAUAAAGAGCUGGUUUGCGUAUCCAAUUUACGAAUGUCAUAUUUUCAACUAAAGGUGGAUAACAUUACUACCGAAUGGUUGAUUGCCAGAAUCAACAAAUCAAGAACAUAAUAAUGCCCUCAAUAAUAUUUACAUGGAACCAACUAACAUACUGAAGACUAACCAUUGCUCCCAUUGAUCUUUACCUUUCUUUGAUUGGAAGGUAUUCUUCAUCUCCGACGACAAACUGCGUCUCGAGGACGUCAUCGGUAGCAUUAUCCAUCUCUCGCCACUUUCUCACCAUGUCGGCCGACAUGUCCAUCAUGAUCAGCUUCUCAAUUCCACCUGUUACACAAGAAAACCCCAAUUCCUCCCAUCACCACAUUACAACAUACUCCCUAUCAAGUUAAAAGCUGGAAAAAUUCAGCGAUUCUACUGGUGCAUAUGUAGAGGGGUUGUCACGCAAGAACAACAAGAGGAGAUAGAUUUGAGGAGCUCACUCACCGCGGCCGCGGAGCGAGCGGCGGACGGCGCCGGCGGAGCCGCCGAGGCAGAGCGCGGAGGGGAACGCCUUCCUGCAGUCCUCGAGGCGGUCGAGGAGGUUGUCGGCGACGGCGUCGGCGAGCGCGUCGGUCUCCCCCAUGGCCCACGCCGCCCGGUCCCGGUGCCGCCGCUUCAGGUCGCGGUCGAAGAUCUUGACGCGGCCGCCGCCACCGCUCCCGUCCCCGCCGUCCAGCCCUCCCGCGGGAGCAGCGGAGGAGGAGAGGUGGGCCCAGCGGUGGCGAGGAAGGUGGAGGAGGCGGCGGCGGGCCGCCGCCGCGGCGAGCCCCGUGGCCAUCGCGAGCGCCGGCGGUGGUGGAGAGAGAGAGGGAGAGCGAGCGUGUUAUGGGCCUCGUGGACAUAGCCACAUGGGCGGAUGGGCCUUUGUGGCUGUGAUUUGCUUUUUUUUUUUUAGGGAUGGGCUGUGAUUUGCUGAAAAUGGAGCUUAAGUACGGAUACGUAAAAUAUGGUUAAUUGAUUUUUAAUUAUUACUUCCUCCGCGUUUUAUAAGGUAAGAUUUUCUACCCACACUCAUAUAAAUAUUAAUGAAUCUAGGUAUAUACAUAUAUCUAUAUAUAUGUGUGUGUGUGUGAAUAUGGGCAAUGCUAGAAAGUUUUACAUUAUCAAACGGAUGGAGUAUAAACUUAAAAAUAAAUUUAUCUAAAUUUUUAAAAUGACUUGUAUAUAAAAUUUUCAUAAAUGGUAUAUUUCGUGGUUUGAAAAAACAUGCUAACGGAAAUUAAGAUAAAAUAUGUAUAUUGACGAGAAAAGAAUAUUGCCUAAGCGGUUAUUUCUGUUCUAAUUGAGAAUUUGACAGCAAACAGAGGAUCACCAUUCCUCUCAACAAGGAAAAUAUAAAAAAAUGUUGCUAAAAAAAGGGGAGAAAACAAGAUCACCGUUACUCCUCGCUCCUCCUAUGCUCCAAGAUUCCAUUUUAAUUUCUUCCAUGUUCUUGUCGAUCACCUGCUCCAUGAUAGUGUUGGUGUUACGAGUAAGAUAUACUAUAUGCUAUACAUGGUUCAUAUUAUAUGGAAAUAGCAUAUACCUAAUAUUAUAGGAGAAAGCAUAUGCAAAUAAGGUGAUAAAGCGAGCCUUCAAUCCAUGCGAAGAGGAUGGCACAUAUCUAGCCUUGAGCUUAAUCGAUAUCGUAAGGCAAAGGGGUUCAUACAAGUAUAUACUAGAGGUUUAACCGAGAUGAUCUUUGUGCAUGCCCGGUCGAUCAAUACAUUCUGCUAGGGGCCGCUGUUGACACGUAGACCGAAAAGGAGUUUUCGGGUUGCAGCCGAGUGUACAUAAAUCUACAGGGUCGCACGCUUAAUGGGCCGGAAUAAGGGGAUUAGAUGGAGAUCCAAUAUGAGCUUAAUUCGGAUAGGGAUCCGAAUAGGAGUCCUACGGGCCUUGGAGGCCCGAGUCAUGGAUUCUAUAUAUUUGUGAGGGGUGUGACCGGCGGAGGUAUUCCAUCACGUGAGAAACCCUAGCCGCCACUCCCCUCCUCGAGCAAAACCCUAGCCGCGCGCAUGUGCUAGCACAUCUGCGCGUGGCGUUCCGUCCCUAUACAUGUGAAUACCGGUAGAGGAGCCGCUGCUUUGCGGUGUUGAUCAGCGUGGGAGUACGGCGAGGAGAACGCACGAGAAGGAGAAGGUCGAGCUGGUGCGGUCAACUACUUCCUCUACAUCGACGCGCGCUACAUCCUGAGGGUUCCUUCGCCUUCUUAUCGCUUUCUUCCGCUGCGCAGCGCGUCGAAUGAUAAUGAUCUAUGAUCUAAUACAUGUAUGGGUCCUGGUUUACGCGGUAGAAAAAAUUUAAUUUAUGCUACCGUAGCCUAUGCGUAUCCUAACAGGAACGUCUGGUUGGAAUGCAGCAGAAGAAUCUUCCAACAAACAUCAAAAAAUGAAAGAAAAGUCGUCUUCCAAAUUAAGAAAAAUAUUAGCUUAAUAGAUCAAUAAAAGAAUUAUUGGCUAAGCGUGAUCAAUCCUUUCUACGGUCUGUUUGAUUUGGUGUAAAUCUUUUUUUUUUGUGAUAAUGGAUUUUCAUUUAUCCAGCCUUUGUAUCCAUGAAAGAUAUACACAGCCAAAAAGAUACAAGAGCACUUAGACUCACACCUCAACGAUGAGAACAUAGAACCAGAAAAAGAAAACCUACACCUCACCACACCCUGCUGAAACGGCCAGAUUCCGUUAGUGAAAGUCUUCAAGUCACCACCACCCCUAGUGCGUCGUCGCUGAGAACCUCUGCUGAUGCCAUCUUCAUUCGCUUCAGGUGAGUUAACGCCACACGCCACCGAUUAGCCCACCAUCAUCCAUCCUCGUCCAAGUCAGAACUAGCUGACCAGAUGUAGGCCGAGGGAUCUGCUUCCACUUCGUAUGAUUUCUAGGCCUUCGUCGGGCUGUCGCCAUCGUUGGGAUCCUUUUUCGCCUCCCGGAUUCCUAGCCCACCACCGCCCUUGGACGCCUCUGUCAGUGUCCAUUUGCUGAAAACUUAGACCUCCGUCGUCGAGGAUAUCUUCAUCCGCCUAGACUCCCAAGCCUCCAUCGUCCCUAGGGUCGCCGCCGCCGCCAAGAUCCACCUCCGCCUUGCAGAGAACCUUGCACCGGCGCUCAGGCCCCCGCCGUCCCGGGCUGCUGCUGCCCCUAUAGGGCUACCACUGCCAUAGUUGAGGAAGUCCUUUUCACCCUGAAUCCCAGGCUACCGCCAUCCCUAGGGCUACCUUCACUGGAACCACCAUCUCCUUCCUGAGGACAUGCCGUCAACGCUCAGGCUGCCACCGUCCGAAGAGAUGUCGCUGCCUUCGUCUCGCCGCUACGUGCCCGACCACCUUUACUGUCAUCGCUAGCUUGUGCGGCUAAUGAGUUCGACCGCCUCCGACCGCCACCACAACACCUCCGCUUCCCGCAGGGACGCCGCCGCCUCGCCGCUACCCGCCCGGGCACAUCCGUUGCCACCGUCAACACUCGCAGCCAAGCACGAGUCCGGCCACCUCCGACUGCCACCGCAGCGCCUCCGCCGCCCGCCUUCCCACCACCGCCCGGAGGAACACCGCCGCUUCACCGCUACCCGCCCGGCCACCUCCGUUGCCGCCGCCAACCCACGCGGCCAGGCACGAGUCUGGCCGUCCGACCGCCACCGCAACUUCUCCGCUGUCUGUCUCCCCGCCGCUGCCAUCCUAUCCGCCGCGUAGACCGCCGGUCAGCUCUGGCGAUGGCAGGGCGGAUCUAGAUAUGGGGAGAGGAAAGUUUCGGCCGUGGGAGAGGAAAGGGCAGUUUCGCUUCAACCUUGUAGUCGGCUCGACUUGGGGAAGAUUGCCGACAGAUAGUCGAUCCACUGACCUGAUUUGAUCUAAGUCUAAUCACUUUGAUUGUUUAGAUGUGUUCCUUUCUCAAAAGAUCUCUGUAAGACUUUAUGUUUUUAUUCCUCCUAACAUAUCCAGCAAAUCUGCUAUCGUUUGAAGUUUCUUUUAAGAAAAAAUAUAAAAGUAACAACUCCCUCUGAAAAUAGCUAGCUUUAGAGUAGUUGCUUUUGAGUGUUAUUUGUAAAUUAUUCUUAUCGAUGAGGAUUUGUAUGUCGAAACAACAACACUCUUAUUUAAUCCAUGGUAUAUGAAUUUAUCGAUGAUCGGUCUUGAUUGCGUUUCUGUGGUUCGUCGAUGGCCACGUAGUGACCGCCCGGAGCUGGUGCAACGUCGCCAUCACCCAAUAUAUGUUACUCCAUUUUUUUUCCUCGUUCGGUCUCUUCUAAAAUAAAUUUAUUUUUAACCAUCAUCAUUGUACCCAAGUUUAUAAAAGUAAAGAUAAAUACACUUAAAAUAAAUAAAAGAAGAAAUAAUUAUAUUAAAAUCUGAUAAAGUAAGAAUAUUUUUGUUUGUAUUAGUACGGUAAAAGAGUGAAAAACACACACUUUAACGAAGGGAGUACUACUCCGUAAAAAAAUCAAUCUAGUAGUAGAUGUUGACACAUCUUAAUACUAUGAAUCUCGUUACAUUCGUAGUAUUAGGAUGUGUCAAUAUAGAUUAGUUUUUUAUGAAACAAAGGUAAUAUUACUUUACUCGUACAAACCAAAUUAAGGCUGUGUUUAGUUCCACGUCAAAAUUGGAAGUUUGAAGAAAUUAGAAUAAUGUGACGGAAAAAUUGAAAGUUUGUGUGUGUAGGAAAGUUCGAUAUAACAGAAAAGUUAAAAGUUUGAAGAAAAAAAAGUUGGAAUAUAAACAGGGCUAAGGCGAGUUUAGUUUGCACAAAAAUUGGAAGUUUGAUUGAGAUUAAAACGAUGUAACGGAAAAGUUGAAAGUUUGUGUGUGUAGAAAAGUUUUGAUGUGAUAGAAAAAUUAAAAAUUUGAAGAAAAAGUUGGGACCUAAACCAGAUUUAGAUGGGACGUAUGAUGUGAUGGAGUAGGGCACGCAGUUGAUGGGGUAUGAUUACACAUGUUUUUAAAUACUCUCUCCGUCCCAAUCACCGAGCCUAUAUAAUAAGGUAGCAGCUAGCUUCUUCUUCUUCCAAAACUUUGCUAUAGCAUCCUGAUAAUAAUUAGAUCGAUCGAGCUAGCCAUGGACGAGUACCUGCCCCAGCAGAAGAAGGUCGACGAGGAGCAGGCGGCGGCGGUGGACACCGGCAAGACGAACGGGAAAGAGGCGGCGAAGCAGCACGGCCACAUCCGCAUAGACGACGACUUGGUGGAGUACGUCAACUUUGGCGCCGUCGCUCAGGCUGGAACGGCCUAUUUCGUACGUACCACUCUACUACUACUACUACUAUCAGCUGCUACCUCCGUCCCAAAAUAAAUACAGUCAUGAAUAUCCAUGUUUAAUGUUUGACCAUCCGUCUUAUUUGAAAAAUUUAUGAAAAAACUAAAAAUAAUUAGUCACAUAUAAAGUACUACUCAUGUUUUAUCAUCUACUUCCUCCGUUUCGCAAUGUAAAUUAUUAUAACAUUUUCUACAUUCAUACUGAUGUUAAUUAAUUCAUUAACAUCAGUAUACAUGUGGGAAAUGCUAGAAUGACUUACAUUGUGAAACGGAUGGAGUAAUAACAAUAAAAAUACUAAUCAUAAAAAAAUUUCAAAUAAAAUGAACGGUCAAACGUUAAAUAUAAACAGUGCAAAACUGCACUUAUUUUGGGAUAGAGGGAGUAAAUUACUACUCCAGCUAAUUAAAUAUGCGAUCAGAGUCUAAUGUUUCACUUAAUUCAACUAGCUGCUAGUAGAUGAUACCAUACCCCACGUUAUUGCUAUGGAUUAUGGAAAGACAACGGGAUUCAUCAAGCAGAAAGCUAACAGCUAGCAAACUAAUUAAGCUCUACAGAGAUGAUACAAAAUCAUUGUCAAUUGAAAUUACAGUGCUGAAUAAUAACAAGGUGGGUGUGGAUAAAUUUUAGUAUUGCGUAAUUUCAGUGAUAUGCGGUUUUGUGUUAUGCACCUAGAUUGAACAAAUAUGAUGACCAAUCCUGAACUGAUGGACGCCUCACACAUAUAACAUUUGUACUAAAUCUUUAAAUCAAAUUAUAUUAAUCACAGAACAAAUCAUACAUGUGAGCUGCCCUGUUUGGGAACUAUAUAUAAUCAAUUCGUUUCCAUAAAUAAAAGGUCGGUGAAUUGAGCCGGUGGGCCGGUGGAGCUAGGAGUGUAUGAAAUCGAACGGUUGUGUGUUUUAGAUCAAUACGAGUCUAACGGUUCUUAGUUAUUUAUUUGAUGACGACUUGGAAGCUAGUGGCGGAGGUAAAAACUAGCUCCAAGAUAGGGCUCAACUAAUGAAGUAUUAAUUUUCUAAAAAAAUUUACACGGUGAAUUAAUAAAAUUUAAGUAUGUUUUUGAAGGCAGCGCUAGGGCUUAGGCCCUGCCCUAGGCCUGCCCCCAUCCCUGUUGGAAGCCUAUGAAAAGAGAGAGAGAAAUAUUUAGUGCUACUUAGUAGGAAAGUAAUUGUAUAGUAAUCUCUCCGUUUUAUAAUAUAACAGUCUAAGAUUGAAAUAUACAUAUAUAGUGCAUCGAAUUUGGAUGGAAUUGGUGGUGCCAGAUUCGUUACAUAUGUAGUGUCUUAUCCCCGCUAUAGAUUACUAUAUAUAUUAUAGAACAAAUGAUUACUAUAUAUAUUAUAAAACAAAUGAAGUAUUAUAAUAAGAGCAGGUUUAAUAGUGUAUACAACCUGCCGACGAUUAAAAGCGCCACAUCAGAUUGGAGGUGAUCAAGAGACCGUAUAUAUAGCAGUUGGCUAUUGGCAUGAACUCCAAUAGAUUGAUCUAUAUUUUUCUAAUUUAGCUUUCACACACAUAUGCUCUCACAUGGACCUCACAACCAUGUUUCUAUACUGGCUGGUGUUGUCCGUCUCACCUAGGGAUGUGUUUGGAGCCGGCGGCAAAUUAAUCACCGACGCAUAUACUCUCUCCACUUAUUCCUCUUCUAGCUCAUCACUUCUUCUUGCACGCAUGCAUUACCAUCGGCUUAAACUGUCUACUGUUCUUGCUCUAACUUAGUAUUGUGCAUAUGCAUGCAGGAAAAGAAGUACGAGGCGGCAACCGGGGAGAAGGCGGCGGACAAGGUGGUGAGGUUGAUCGGCAAGGAGGAGACCAAGGAUCGGGACCAGGAGGAGAAGAACAAGGGCGUCGUCUACCAGUUCUGAUAGAUAUCAAUCAAUCAUGCAUGUAUAACAUAUAGCUACCGCACGCCACAUGUGUUCAUGUGUGUGCUUGGUUGUACUCCCGAUCUCUUAUCUAAGGCAAGUACUAUAUGUUUUGAAUAAGUGGCAUGCAGUGGUAAUUAAUACUCCAUUCGUUUUUUUACUAUAUGUAUACUGUUUAUGAUGUACCAAUCCUCUUACGUAAUUAGUUAAUACUACAUUAAAAAACUUUAAUGUACAACGUUAUUAACUUUUAUCGUGACGAUUAACUAUUUAUCUUAUUAAAAAAUUAUAUACAUGUCGUUUGUUGUAUCGUGAGUUGUUAAUUUUAUCAUAAAGGAACUCUAAUCUUAACUUAUAUUUUAUAUAUUUACACUAAAUUUUUAAUAAGACGAACAAUUAAAAGUCAACGAUAUUAUGUAUUAAAAAACAAAGGUAGUAGUUGUUGGAACAAAUCCAACUAGUGUACUCAAGCUGUAUUCUGUAUUCAAUGUGCUCAACUGUGAGCAAUGCUUUCAUAAUUAUACUGGGGUAUACAAGAAGAAAUUUCAUUAUUGCACCCUAGUCCUAUGGGCCAAUCUAGAGUGGCUGGCCGGUGGGCCCGCCCUCGAGCUUUUAGUAAAAUCCCCAAUGACAGGGAUGGCUGCGCCCAUUAAGAAGGCGAUAACGCCUCCCGAGGGUGCUGGCUAUUACCCGGGCAAAGCCGUGCUUUCCGGGUAGUGGCCUGUGCUGGCCCGUCCCUGUAAUGACGCCAGAUAUGGUUGGCGGGUGCGUAGUGCGUAUUUAUUACGGCCCACUGCGCUCUCGGGGUCCGCCUUCGCCUCCGGCCUGGGGCUUCCUCAGCGCUCCGUAAUCUUGGCCAACUCCGAAGACCUUGGUUGGCUCCGAAGGCCAGGUGCAUCAAGCGGGCCUGAUAGCCUCUAGAGUCUGGAGGCUUAAUGGGCUCUGGAGCCCUUGGUUGGAUCCGGGGGUUUGAUGGGCUCUGGGCUGAUAGGCUCUGGUGCCCUUGGCCAGCCUUCGGAGGCAUGAUGGCCAUGGGAGCUCCAGGCUGUCUUCGGUCGUUUUCCCAGGAUGGGGGUAGCUCCGGGAUAGAAGCUACUUGACGGAGAUGAACUCCGUCAAUCCGGAGCCACUCCCCCAAUAGUAGUUAAUUUAUGUAUAGUUAUACUAUAAUCCUGCUAGCUGGGGUUAUAAGUAUACUAGUGCGGUUGCUGACGUUUGCUUUCUGACGGCUGAAUUCCUUAGCUAGCUUCUACUCCCUCUGUCCUAUAAUAUAAGUGAUUUUGGAGGGAUGUGACAUAUCCUACCAAAAUCACUUAUAUAUAAGGGGGAGAGGGAGUAGUGGAUAGCACUUCUUAUAUCGAGGAGGUGGAUUUUCGUCUCUCAAGAGAAACAUGCAUGUCUUCAAUUUUCACAUGUCAUUUAUAAGUCAGCUUGCUUAAUGUGUUUUUAGAUAGGUUGAUGCUACAUAUCUGUAUUUUCUAUAAAAUUACAACAUACUAAGUUUAAACUCAAUAAACAACCCUUCCACAUCAUCACCCACUAGUAAUAAUUACAUAUUUAACCUCAUGCAAGUAUGCAACAUCAUCUACAAUCUAUUUAAUUCUACAAAUCAAAAAUGCAAGAUACCCAAUCAUCAUCCUCACAUUAUUUCCAUAACAUUUUAAUAAAUAUAUCUAUCAUUUUAUAAUAUUUAGCAUAUACUUAUCAAUAUGUUUCUCAUUAAAGCGUGUGUACCAUUUGUUUGUUUCAUGAUAAGUACUGAUAAACCCUAGUGUUUUAUUAAUUUUUUCUUUUUACUUCUAGUUUGAUUGUCGAAAAAAGUAUAUUGAAAAUUGUCUAGCGUCACCCUAGUGUGUGUGUAUAUAUAGACGCGAUCGCACACACACGAUCGAUCUGCGGUCAAUAAAACCCGUGCAGAGAACAUAGAGAUAUUUUAAUCCACGGGAUCCACUUGCGCAUGCAUUUAUCGAUCAAAAUUGAUUGUGUUUCUAUGCACGGUUCGUCGACGGCCAGGUAUAGCUACACUCGGAGCGGUUGCAACGUCGCCAUUAGCCGAUAUGUUAUGGCCUUAACCAAAUUAAGAGUGAUACUGGUGAUCGAGAUGGAGCGUUCGAUGUGAUCGUGCUACACUAUUGAUCAAUUAUAUAUGAACUAAGAAGAUAGCCCGCGUAUUCACGCGGGCAUGCAUCGUGAGCAGCGUUUGAGAAUGGAUCAUAUUAAUCGAAUAGCCUCUGCAAUGUUUUGAGAGUAUGUUUCCUCGACAAAUAUUCAUCGUCCGUAUCGCUUUGAUAAUUUCUCUAACCUAUAUUACAUAUAAUAUUUAAUUUAACUGUAUAAGCAAUUAUAUAUAAUCUUCAUCAUCAUUUAAGACUUAGUUUGUUUAUAAAACAUGUUAAAUAAAUUAAGUAUAAAUUCAAAGAAAGUCAUUUUUUUCUUUUGUUAGUUGAAUGUUUUGGGUCCAUUGGUGAAAACGUAAGACCUAGCUAAACUGGUUGUUUACGGUUUUCUUUAAGGAAUUGGAUUUUCUUUGGACUAUUCAUAUUUUAUAGUUAGUUCUAUUUUCUUAGAUAGUGUAUAUCUAAUUUAGCUACACGUGUUUGCAAAAACAACAUAUGAUGAUGCAACCUGUGUUGUUAGAUCAUUUCAAAAUUCUUUUAUGGCAAUUCAAAUGACAUGUAAAAGGGCAGGGGUAUUCCACCUCAAUAAUAAAAUGUACGACAGUUCACUUGUAAUUUUUAUUUGGAUACUAUUGGUUUAAUUUAGCUAUGCAUGUUUACGGAAUGAUGUAAAAUGACGUAAUAUAUGCAGUCAAUUUGUUUGAGGUAUUUCGAUUAUAUUUGGAUGGUAUGCAAAGCGCAUGGGUCGAAUAUGGCUAAAUGCGAUAUUUUGUAUAUAGGAAAUAAGAUGUGUAACUUAAAAGUUAUGGUUGUUUUAAUAUCUAAAAUUAUUGAUUAUUUCUCUUAUAUUUUAAUAGCUAAAUAUAGGGAGGGGACAUGCAAUGAUGUGCGCAUGUGAUUGGGGUGAAGAGGUGGAUGGGAUUUAUUUUUCUAACCUUUUCUAAAUAAUGUAACUUAAAACCAAUAAUGAUAGGUUUCAUUAUUUUUCUCAUAAUUUCUAAGAUUAUUUAUGAUUUUUAGGACAUAAUACGUGGCAGCGUAAGUUUUUUUUUUAAAAUUAGAUCUAAUAGUUAAAAAUAAUUGGUCAUUGAUUUAAUUGAAAUAUUUUGUAAUUUUAAGACGUGACAUAUGGUGACUUAAGUGUGAUCUAAAGGCUGUUUAAUUGGUUUUAUUAUGUAGAAUGAUUUAAUAUGACAUAGUACAUAUUUUGAUCUUUUAAAUUAUAAUGUUCCAUUGUCAUUUAGUUUCCAUGCAGAGUAUUUUAAUUUUUGUAUAGUAAAAUACAGCUAUAAUGGAUCUUUAAUUAUUUAAUUAAUUGUAAAUAAAAAAUGGUUCAAACAAAUUAAAAAUCAAAUAUAAUUUUAGAUACUAUAAAUCGUUUAGGUACGUUGUUUUAUAUUAUGUUGUUAGUUAAAAAAAAUAGAAGAGAGGAGGAGGGGAGUAAGAAGGGAGAGAACCAUAGGUACAGCGGGAAUAGGGCCGGAGAUUUAUAUUCCAACAGGUCUCAAUUUUGAGUUAUCUAUUUCUUAUUUUUUAGUGAUAGAUAUAAUUUUAGAUCACUGAGAAAAUAUGUCAGGUGUUGUAUUUUCUAAUAUAAGCUAAAUGAUGCUAAUCAUAUGGUUUAAAAAUCUAUGUGAGUUUUUCUAAAAAUGUAUGGAGUGACCAAUAGCUAGUCUCUUGCCAUAUAGGAUCCAAAGUAAUACAUUUAUUGUACUUGUUAAAUAUAGUUAAUUUGGAAAUUGAAUUCUAAACUUUUUAUUGUAAAUAAUCCCAUGACAUGCACGAAUAAAAAAAUCAGCUCUAUGAUUUAGACAAUACAGUUGUUUUAAAAUUUUUAUCAGAAAAUAUGUUUUCUAUAUAUAUAAUAAUUGCUUGAAAACAGGAGGGGAGGUCUCCCUCGUGCAUCACGUGAGGCCAGGGUGUGGUAUAUGGUACGUAACUACAUACGUAUACAUAAUGAGCCUUUUCUUUUGAUGGCUGGAGGUGGGGUGUGGGCCUUUUCUUUUUUCCUCUUUAGAUCAAUCUGAUUGUAUAUUAGUGAAAAUCAACUAUUAGAUGUUUUGCUUUUUUCUCUAAUUUGCUAGAGUAACACGUGGUAAGUUAAGAGCGUUUCUAGAAUGCCACAUGGCGGCUUGAGAGCUGCUGGCCUUGGGCCAACAAAUCCCACAUGACAAUGCAACAAAUCGCCCCACGCGCGGCGGGGGAGCUUUUUUUCGCGUACGGAUAGGAUGAAAGACACCCCGAUCGAACGAUGAGGAGAAAAACGGCUGAAAAUGCAAAAAAAAUUCAGCUGUUUUCCACGUAGAUGAUCCCUUAAUAUUAUGGAUCUACCGAUUUAAAUGGACAUUAAUGAUUAACUUUUUUUCUAAAUUUAAAUUAUUAGCUAGAAAAAAUAGGAAGAUGCACGGAGUAAGUGUACGUACGUGCCUUUGUGCGUGCAUGGGUGUUAGGAGGGAUUAGUCAGCGUACGUUUGUUGUGCACGGGGUGUUCGGAGGGAUUAUAAUCCCAGACUUGCGAAGUAAUUUGAUGAAAGAAUUGAUGUGUUGUAUGUGUUGCUAGAUCAUAUAUACAUUGGUAAAAAUACAAGUUCAGUUGCAUAAUGUGGUGAUAAAAGUAAUGUUUAGCAAUCCAUUUGACAUGUGGAUUGUAUUAUAGUUUUAUAUUUUUUUUGUCUUCAAAGAUAAUUAUUCUGACGGUACCAACGUGGUUUUUCUGACGGUUGCCCGCCGGAAUUUAGAUGGCAAAAACCUGACGACAAUGGAAUUUACCUGUGUUCCACCCACAGGAAUAAGCCGACAGAAUUGUUAUUUCUGUAGGGAAACCGACAGAAAAAUUGAAUUUCUCCGUGGUGAUUUUUCUGUCGGCAAUUUCUGUCGGUCCACCCACAGGAAAAUAAUUUCUGACGGUAUAAUGUAUUUUCCUGACGGUUUUAGGCCUACAGGGUAGCCCGUAAGUCUGGUAGAAUUAGUCAUCUUUUCAUCUAAUCUAAAUAGGAAAGAGAAAAAAAAUGGAUGUGCAACUGGGAGUACGUACGUGCGUACGUUUGUUUUUUUGGCAGGAAUACCUAUCCACAUAAUUAAUGUGAAGUUUUUAAAUAGAUCUAAUGGUUGAAAAUAGUGGGUCCACCAGAUUAAAUGAAAAUCGAUUGUUAGAUGUUUUGUUUUUUCCUUAGAAUUUCUACAAUUUAUUAGAGUGCCACAUGGCGGUAUAAGAACGUUUUUAGGGGUGCACGUGGCGGUUUAGGAGCGUUUGUAGGAAGUUUAAUGAACUUUUAGUAUAUAAUAGAUAGAUAAUAGAUAGAUAGAUCGCAAACUCCAGUAAACCAUUUAUUUCACACAGGGUCAUCUUAAUAAUUUUGAGGGGCCAUUACUCCAAAUGUUAUGGAGAUAGAAACCAAAUAAAUUAAGCGUGAUACGGUGAUGGUGAUCGAGAUGGAGCGUACGAUAUGAUCGUGCUACACUAGGUAUUAAUCAAUUAUAUAAUAUAAUCACAAACUCCAGUAACCCAUUUAUUUCACACGGGACCAUCUUAAUAAUUUUGAGGGGCCAUUCCCCCAUAUGUUAUGAAUAUAGAAACCAAAUUAAGCGUGAUACUGGUGAUCGAGAUGGAGCAUAUGAUGUGAUCACGUUCUAGACUAUUAAUUAAUUAUAUAUUAAUCGCAAACUUGAGCAACCCGUAUAUUUCACACGAGGCCAUCUCAAUAAUUUUGAGAACAUUGUACUAUCAGUAUUAUGAAUAAGGCAUACCCAAUAGUCUUAGAUUAAGCUCGACAAGACUUAACGAAUAUCAAGUCUUAUAUGGAAUCAUAUCUCAUAUAUGGAAGGUAUUCUGGAUAAGAAAGGAGAGGCAGAGUUUUACAUGGAAAUUACAAGGACUUCAGAUUAUAUUUGGACAAUGGGACAUCUUUAAGUAUAAAUAUAAGGCCAUCUAGUAGGAGAGAGGAUAAGCAUUUUAAGUAUAAAUAUAAGGCCCCUUAGCAGGAGAGAGGAUAAGCAACAGUCAGAAUAGACACCAAUACACGACACCAGAUAUCGACAUCAGAGAUAGACAUACCCAAUCUUGGUGCCACAAACUCUGAUCUCACCGAGUUCGUAUUUGACGAGGAAGACUAUCCUGUCAUCGACUACGGGUGGUGGUUCAUGCUGCCGUGUCGACGACAGUUAGAUAGGUUAUCCCAAAUAUUAUACUUGAGCGAUUUUGAUGAAUAAGAACAACAUCGGCUUCGGCCAACAUGAGUAGGGCUACUACCACUACUAGAAAAACGAUUUUUCAUGGCGUCAUCCUAUAAUUUUCGCUGGCGGCCGUACUCGAAAACCGCCAGCAAAAAUGUAACGAGGGAUGGGAUGCUACGGACCGCUAGCAAAAAUCUAUUUUCCCUGGCGGCCAGGCUAAGAGAUCCGCUAUAAAAAAAACUCUAUUUUUCGAGGCGGACCUCUUAAGCAUCCGCCAGGAAAAAUCAUGUUUUUGCUGGCGGCUACUAAACACCUCCGCCAGAGAAAAAAGGUUUUUCAUGGCGUUUUUUACCCCUGCAAUAUUUUAAAACCACAUCAUGUCUUCUCUCCCGUCUCCACCCACCUCCUCUGUCAUCUCCACCCACCUCCCCUCUCCUCUUCUCUCCACCCAUCUCUCCCUCUCCUCCCCCUUCACUCCCCACUAGUAGCGGCGGCGAGCCCAGCAGCAGCAGCAGCACGCGGAUCGAGGGGGCGGCGGUCGAGGCGGCGCGCGGCGGCGGCGGCCGAGCGGCUCGCGGCGGCGGCGCCCGAGGCGGGGCAUCGGCCGGCUCGCGGCGGCGGCGCCCGAGGCGGGGCGUGGGCCGGCUCGCGGCGGCAGCGCCCGAGCGGCGCGCGGCGGCGGUGCCCGUGCAGCUCGCGGUGGCGGUGCCCGAGGCGGCUCGCGGUGGAUCCAGCGACGGGACCAGAUCCGGAGCAGAGGAGCAUGCGGAUCGAGGCGACGCGCCUCCCCAGGUCUCUCUCCGCCGCCACCACUCUCUCUCCCUCUCUCAGAUCUGGUGCACGGGCCACAAUGGAGGCUGCGGCACGGCUCUGCAGCGGCGGUGGUGAGGCGGAGGCGGUGGAUUUUUUUUAAGAACAGCGGAUGAAAUUUUUUGGUAUUUUAUUGUGAUUUGUGAAUGGAUUGGGAUGGUUGAUGCCAUACUGCAGCCGUGCGCUGAUAAUUCAAAUUUUUGUGAUGCUCAUGCUUGGUGGAUGGAGCGUUGACGGACGGAGCGAACGCUCCGUCCGUCUUUUUUUUAAAAUUUGGUCAUUAUUUUCUCUGGCGGCUGGUAUAGUGUAACGGCCAGCAAAAAAAAAUAUUUUCGCUGGCGGCCGUCUUAAACCAGCCACCAGCGAAAAUGGAUUUUUGCUGACGGCUGGCUUAAGAUGACCGCCAGCGAAAAUGUUUUUUCGCUAGCGGUCGAUAACCGCUAGCGAAAAUCUUGAUUUUCACUGGCCUUUGCUUUGUGGCGGCUCCAAAUUCCGCCAGCGAAAACCCAAAAUAGCCGCCACGAAAGAUGGUUUUCGUAGUAGUGUACCUUAUAGAUAAAGAGGUCCGAACGUGUAUAAAAAAUUCCUCAAUCUCGCGUAUACCCUGGUACUAACGAUCCCUAUACAAUGCAAAUACCGUAGUCGUGAUCUACAACAUCGACAUAUACGAACUCGACACUAUAGGUUCUUAAAGUUUUUUACUUAUAAUUUAUACUUUAAAACACAUAUCCUAUGAAAGUGACAUAAAUAAACAUUUCUAACAUGAUAAAUAAUAAAUCAAGUAGUUGUAAAUUACAAUAUACUCCCUCCAUAUUUUAAUGUAUGACGCUGUCGGUGACAUGGGAUCGGGAGUAUCAUGACUAGAGGUUUGAGGCAGACACAAUCGCCCACGUGGCCUGGCACCCUCGGGGGACGUCGGGCCCAAGAUGUGUUCGCCCUCCUCUUAGUCCCCCCGAGGGGGUCGAGCCGCACCCGCCUCGGCCCCGAGGGCCGAGGCGCCCCGACCCCUCGUGGGUUUUCGCUCCGCGUGUAUGGGUUAGGUGGGCACAGUGGGGCUCACCUAACCACAUUUAUUGCGGUUUGGCUGAGCGUGUCACGCCGCAUGUAACGCGGUGCAGUGCACUCAUUUAUCCGGUCUGUGACCAGUCACAGACCGGUCAGAUCGCGGGUUAGGUGGCGACAGGCGAUCUGACGCACGCCUCGCCCCAUCCCGUCAGGACAAGGGCUUCUAGGCACUCGUCCCCAGCUGGAUCAGCGUGUUACCUCCCAGAGAUGACACGUUAGUCCUGGUCAGAUAUAUGCCAGGCUUCAUCCUAACCAUUACAGGCAAAAUGUUGUGUGAAGAAGGGCCAACGUGCAGAUUGCUAAGAUGACGCGUGGUGGACAAGAAUGACCGAUUUGUGACCAGUCUGACACUGGUCAUGUCGUCAGCAGACAGCCAUGAUUCCGCGUCGCGCCUGCUCCCGGCGAAAGUGGAGGUAGGUGCGGGCCGUCCCAUCAGAAGGUGACUCGAACGGCAACCAUGCAAAUCUCCGUCCAUUUAUGAAAAGGUAGGGUAAGUCCCCACAGAGAGGGGGGAUGGUGCAUGUGGUAUCCCCUUAAGAUAUAAAAGGAGGACCUUGCCCACGGAGAGAGGGGGGUUUUUUGAUUGGACUGGACUUUUCCAGAUUAGAAACCCAGAACAAGGGAGAGGCAGGCUCAUACUUUGUAGCUCCUUCACACACGAAUCCACCAAAACACAGGAGUAGGGUAUUACGCUUCUAAGCGGCCCGAACCUGUAUACAUCGCCGGCGUCUUCUGUGCUUCCUGUCUCGCGAACCUUCCACAUACAGAUUGGGAGCUUGGAGUCUCACCUAGGGUCCCCGGCCGAACCGGCAAAGGGGGGCCUGCGCGGUCUCCCGGUGAGGAGCCCCACUCUCCGUCAGACGCCUUGACUUUUUAACCAACGUUUGACCACUCGUCUUAUUCAAAAAUUUUAUGCAAAUAUAAAAAUACUUAUGUCAUGCUUAAAGAACAUUUGAUGAUAAAUCAAGUCACAAUAAAAUAAAUUAUAAUUACAUAAAUUUUUUGAAUAAGACAAAAUGUCAAACGUUUGUCAAAAAGUCAACGGCGUCAUACAUUAAAAUAUGGAGGGAGUAGUAUUUUAUUUUCGAUUAAUAAUAUUGACAGUAUAAUUGACAACCAAAAACAUGUAGAAACAAAGUAGUAUAAAUAGCUCGAUAGAAGACCACAAAUACCCAAUGACUUUUAUAAAAAAAGAACUUAUUCGGGUAUUUCUUGAAGCAAAAUGUUGUUGAAGAUAUUGAUCCCUUUAACAGUUGAACCCAGAUUCCUAACCUAGGCAAUAGAAGGGGGAAAACAAAUAGGAUUAGCAGAACAAAUCAAUUCUAAUCAGUGAGAAGGAUCGAUGGAUUGGAUCAUCACCUGAUCUAGCUUCACUUUUGAUGGUUAAUUUGUUUCCGCUUCCGGCCUCCAGUUCUGUUGUCUCCAUGGCAUCACGGCGCCUCCGCGAUUUCCAUGCGACAGGAGCGGAAGGCAGAGUGUCACAAGAAGCGCGAAGCAUCGGGUUGGGUGCAAUUAUGUUUUGGAAUAAGUUCACUACAAGUCUCUUAAUUUAUCGCCGAGUCUAAAAUUCAUUUCUAAACCAAAAUACGAGAUACAACACAUCCCUCAACUUUCAAAACCGUCACAAAUAAGGUCUCCAUGUGGUUUGGAGGAUGGUUAUAGCUGACGUGGCGCCUACGUAGAUGGUUUGUAUAGCACGUCAGCUGAAACCGCCACCCAAACCGCCUUAGGACCUUAUUUGUAGUAGUUUUGAGAGUUGACGGACAUGCUAUAUCUGCUAUUUCGAUUUAGGGAUGAAUUUCAAACUCGGCGACAAAUUAAGGGACCAGAAGUGAACUUAUUACUUACGUUUUUGCACGUCGUUAGCGCUAGGCUGGGCCACCAGGAAACCGAGGAGUGCCAAAUAAGGAAUAAGUUCACUUAGUGACCCUCAAAAGUAAACGAAAUCUAAUCCGUGACCCUAAAACACGAAACCGGAUAUCUCAACCCCAAACUCUUAAAACCGGUACAAUUUGACACUUGGAGGGCGGUUUUGCUGACGUGGCGGUAUUGACCGGGUCUCCUUUACACGUGGCGUUGAGGUGGCAUUUAGAAUUUAAAAAUAUAUGUGGGACCCAUUUGUCAGUGACACAUAAAAAAAAAUUGUGGGACCCACGUGUCCCUUCUCUUUCCCCUCCCUCCAGUUCCUUCUCCCUCCUCGCGCGCACGCUCUCUCCUGCAGCAAUGCAGCGAACGGCGAGGGCCGGAGCGGCGGCGGGCGGAGACGGCGGCGAGCGGCGGAGGCGCGAGCGUGGCGCGGCGGCCUGCGACUGCGAAUGGCGGAGAUGCGGGAGUGGCGGCGGCGGCGCCCGGCCUGAGCUUCAUCGCCUCCUCGCCGACGGUGACCAGUCGUUCGAGCAGGAGGACGGCGGCGGAAGGCACACGCGGCGGGGUCGAUGACGACGACGUCCUCCACCGUCACCGCCGCCGCUCAUCGGCUCAUGUCGACGCGGUCCAAGUCGGUGCCGGUGCCUUCGCCGGCGAGGGCGAGCGGCCCAGCCACCCAACCCAGCUGCGCCACGCUCCACGCCAGUGCCAGCACGCCGGAGCCGAUCACCGCCGUAACAAUGUGUGCCGUCGCCGCCCAUACCGUGCCUGCAAAAAAGACCCAGUUAACCGGAAUCACCACCAGCUCAAACGAACCAAACAAUUCUCAAUCUCAACCCAACUCGCAAGGUGUCCCAAGAAAACAAAUAGCCGAUGACCCAUGCGGCAUGCAUGCCGUAACCAGUCAAAGAAAACCCCCCAAAAAAACCGGGGAGAAGAAAUCAAGAACCAGCAAGGACGAACACGUACGCACCUUUCCGCUCGUGCUCGCCGCUCUCGCCGUCUUCCGGUGCGGCGUUCUUGUUCAUGUUGUCGGCGAGCCCCGUAGGUGUCACGAGGGAGAGUGCGCGAGGAGGGAUGCGGCCGAGGCGUGAACCGUUAACGAAUCUGGACGGUAGGCCGUAUAUAUAGGGAGGCCGCGUGUGCCUCCCACCGCCGUCCUCCUGCUCAAACGCCUGGUCGUCGUCGGCGAGGAGGCGGUGAAGCUCAGCCCAGGUGUCGCUGCCACCGGUCGUCCAGUGCCUCUGUGCCUGCCGACUCCACUCCCGUGUCUCCGCCGCUCGCAGUCGCAGGCCGCCGCGUCACGCCCGCGCCUCCGCCGCCGUCUCCGCCCACCACCGCUCGCUGCGGGAGAGAAGGAGAGAGAGAGAGGGAGUGGCGAGGGCCGGGCGCCGCCGCCGCCACUCCCGCAUCUCCGCCGCUCGCCGCCGUCUCCGCCCGCCGCCGCUCCGGCCCUCGCCGUCCGCCGCAUUGCCGCGGGAGAGAGGGAGUGGCGUGGAGAGAGAAGGAACUGGAGGGAGGGGAGAGAGAAGUGACACGUGGAUCCCACAAAUUUUUUUAUGUGUCAUUGACAAAUGGGUCCCACAUAUAUUUUUAAAUUUUAAAUGCCACCUCAACGCCACGUGUAAAGGAGACCUGGUUAAUACCGCCACGUAGGCGCCACGUCAGCAAAACCGUCCUCCAAAACUGCUAAGGGAGUCAAAUUGUACCGGUUUUAAGAGUUUAGGGGUCGAGAUAUCCGGUUUUGUGGUUUAGGGUCACAGAUUAGAUUUUGAUCACUUUUAAGGGUCACUAAGUGAACUUAUUCCUGCCAAAUAAUUGGGCUACAUACCUAUACAAGGUAUAUACCUGGGCAGGGGCCCUAAUUAUAAUUAGGCCCUAGGCCAUCGCUCCAGAGCGGACCCUGAUUUCAGAUCAGACCGAUCGUGCUAUAUAACAAGUUAGCUAAGUUGAGUUGAUCAUCGAGAAAUAAAUAAUUAGCUAGCUCCUUAAUAAUAAUUAUUAGGUCAAGCGAGCCACAUGGACCUUAAAAAAUUGUAAUAAAACAGUAAUAUAAACAAUUAGAAACCAAUCGACCAAUAAUAUGAUAUGAUAGAGCAAGUGUUGAUCCGAAGUUUAAAGUAUAUAUUGGCUAGAGGAUUGAUGGCAUAAAAUCCAAACGAUUAGGUAAACAGUAAAAUCUUUGUUGCGAUCGGCUAAAUCCAAUUUGCAUGUAAUCCUUAUAAGCCGAUGUAACACGCAGAUAACUCAUCGGCUGAAAUCUCGAUGAAACCCUAAUUAGAAAUAGGCUAGAGAUUAUGGUUCUUGCACAACCUAGUAGAUCAAACUUAACUGAUGCAACACUAAGUAUGAAAGAAACAUAAUAUCUAGACAAUUAUGCAUUUAACUGAUUUUCAGAGUGGUAGAUACCUUAGUUAAUCUAAUCUAGCAAGAUAAUUUAGUCGGUACCAGUAUAAACUCUAAAACGAAUCUCAGCCGAUAUGAUCAAAUUAAGAUACUAUACUAGAUUAACUAAGAUAUAUGAUAACCAGCGGCUGUAGAAGAUAGAUUAGAACAUCUAAAGUGACGCCCUAAUCUGCCAACGCAAACCGCUGAGACAAGUCAUAGUUGUUGUCAGAAGAUCGAACGAUGCCCUAACUUGAAGCAAGAACUCAUCGAAAAAGUAGAAAGGUAAAAGAAGCCGAUGCGUGUAUUGAUCGAGAGAUAAUUUACAAUGACUCUGUGUGUACAUAUUUAUACUCUUGGGUAGAUACUAGUUCUUCUUGGAUAAGAAUGAAAUUUGCUUAAAGAUAAAAGGAAAACAUAAAGUACUUAUCGGACACUAAGCACACUUUCCUAAAGAUAAAAAGAAACAAACAAAGUCUUCCUAAUUAAUAGAUAAGCUGUUAUGCCGCAUCAUCAUUGAACUCGGUGACUUCUUUUAAUAAAUUAAUUUCCUUAAUCGAAUCUACUAAGAAUCCGACUAUUGGCAACUUGAUAAUUCCUAUCGGCCUAUUCCAAGAUUGUGAAGCCGAUAGUGACUCUAAGACGAUGAUGACUUCAGGGCUUACCAAAUUUUGGCGUUAACACUAGGACAAGGAUCUGUCCAAGAAGAUCUGGGCCUUCGGUCCGGAGACUAAGGGUCCUAACGUGUUCGUCAACAUGUGCAAGGGUGUCGGGUACCUGAGCGAGAUAAGAGACCCUACUCUAAGAGUACAAGAGUGUGCCAACCAGCUAACCCCUUUUAGACGGGUUACCCACUUAUUUCUAUUAUAAGCGGGUUCAUGGGGUGGCCGCUUGCACCCCUAGCACUGUUAGCACGGGCUUCUAGUGGGCGUCGAAGGAAAGCAUGCUCGCUGAGGAGAAGAUGUGUGGCGUCUUCUUCGAGGCUUCGAGCUUUGCGAUGUUCAUCCUUGUAACAGCCUGCCAUACAGAGCCACGAAGCCUAGCCCAUUCAACGGGCGGACCCACUUACACAUGCCAUUUUACCUAUAUUUUUGUACUUGGUUGAUGUAAAAGGGUUAAUCCGGAAAUGAUAUGAUUCGAGAGACAAACCAGUAUAAGUAAAUUUUACUCUUGAUAAACUAGAAAGAUGAUAUUAAACAUACGCAUACAGCUAUUAUAGACCACACAGUUUAAAUCAUGAUGUCACAUCAAGCUGCCGGCAGCGUGAGCAAACGAUCCGGCGGCGCUGGUGGCGGAGCAAGCCGUACCGGCCAAGCGGAUGCGAAGCGUGGAGUAGUCAACAAGAGCCUCAAGAGGCAAGUGAUCAGGAAGCUGUCCACAGGUGCUUAUCCUCCCCUGUAUUUUGUGUGAAUUUUAUUACUUGUACUGCAUGAUGUUACUAAGAAGCUGAGCCCAAACCACCUACACGUAGACGUGUAAGUGGCUAACCCGCGAAACCCACUUAUAAGCUAAAAUAAGCCACGAACCCGCUUAUUUUGACCUAUAAGUGGGUUCGCGGCUGACCCACUUACACCCCUACCUACACGCAGGAGCUCGAUCGGGCCGUGUAUGAGCGGCCACGGCUGGGGCGGUGCCGCUGGGGAAGGAGAGAGUAUGACGCGUGGAUCCCUACGUACUGACUAAACAUUUGGACUAGGUCAAUGCGUCACGUCAGCGAAAAUCAUCAAAACCGUCGAGAGUUAUUUUACAAUGGUUUUAAUAGUUCGGAGUUUAACAUAUCUGUUAUUGCGAUGAAGGGAUACGAAUUGGAUUACAAGUAUAUUUAAGGGAGUUAUAGUGGACUUAUUUCAAAACGAAAAAAAAAACUCAUAGGGUCAGUUUGGUUCGUGACCAAUGUUGGCCUUACCAAAAUUUGGCAUGUCAAAUUUUGGCAAGUUUUGGCAUGCCAAAUUUUGGUAAGGCCAACAUAUGUUUGGAUUGAAGCCAAAUUAAACUAAUUUGGCUAUUGAAAUGGCCUAUGUUAUAUAGGCAUGCCAAAAUUUGGCCUCAAUCCAAACAUACACAAUUAUUGUUGAGGUUGCCAAAAAAUUGGCAAGCCUAAUUUAGGCCUCAAACCAAACUGACCCAUAGUUGUUUUGGGCCUAUAGGCCCAUAGAAGACACGUGAACGACGGAGCUUUCUCGGGUCUAUGCUCCCCUGCUUGUCUGUAAGAGCGACCGCGGUGUUCUUCCAUUCCUAGCUUUACGCGCAAGCCGAAAAAGAUCAUAUCAUUACUGAAUAACGGAGCAAGAUGAUUUGGAAACAAAAAAGAGGUGAUCCAUGUCGUGUUGGAGAUCGAUCUUGCUCAAGGAGGUGAUCCAUGGGCCAUGGCAGCUGGCACGAUGGCCAUGGGUGGCAUCCGGUGUCCCGUCUGCUUCGCCGCCAUGGCCGCCGGCCAAGCCAUCUUCACCGCCGAGUGCUCCCACACCUUCCACCUCCGCUGCGUCCCCGGCGGCGCCGCCGCCUGCCCCGUCUGCGCCACGCCAUGGCGCGACGCCCCGUCGCCGCUCACGACCUCCUCCAUCCCCGCCGCGUACGACGACGACGACCCGGUGGAGCCGGUGGCGACGGCGGCGCGCAACAGCAGCGGCGGCGGCGGCGGCGUGCUGGUGCUCAAGACGCACUGCGAGUACCCGGCGCUCUCGCGCGGCGCCGCGCGCGACGGCUUCGCCGUGCUGGUGCACGCCAAGGCGCCCGCGGCGGCGGCCGAGGCGGCGGGGCGCGCGCCGCUGGACCUGGUCACGGUGCUCGACGUCAGCACGAGCAUGACCGGGGACAAGCUGGCGCUGGUGAAGCGCGCCAUGGGGUUCGUCAUCGACAGCCUCGGCGCCGCCGACCGCCUCAGCGUCGUCGCCUUCGCCACGCCGACGCGCGCCGGGUGCUCCGCGGCUCCGCCUGACGCGCAUGUCGGAGGACGGGAAGGCGACGGCCAAGCGCGCGGUGGACGCCCUCGUCGCGAACGGGAACACCAACAUCCGCGACGGCCUCGACGUGGACGCCAAGGUGCUCGACGGCCGCCGCCACACCGACGCCGUCGCCAGCGUCAUCCUCCUCUCCGACGGCCAAGACAACCAGACCAUGGGUUACCGUGGCCGCUUCCACAUGACGGAUUUCAAGGCAGCGGCGACCAGCUACGACGUCCUCGUGCCGCCGUCUUUCACGCGCGCCGGCGGCGGCGAGCGGUGCGCGCCGGUGCACGCGUUCGGGUUCGGCACCGACCACGACGCGGCGGCCAUGCACAGCAUCUCGGAGAUCACGGGUGGCACCUUCUCCUUCAUCGAGAACCUCGCCGUCAUCCAGGACACGUUCGCGCGGUGCAUCGGCGGGCUCCUCUCCGUCGCCGCGCAGAAUGCGCGCAUCUCCGUCGAGUGCCUGGACCCCGGCGUGCGCGUCCGGGCGGUCAAGUCCGGCCGCUACGAGAGCCGCAUCGACGCGGAGGGCCGCGCCGCCACGGUGGACGUCGGCGAGCUCUACGCCGACGAGGAGCGCCGCUUCCUGCUCCUCCUUGACGUGCCUCGAGCCGACGGCGACGCCGCCGUCGCCACGCGCCUCGCCAGCGUGCGCUGCACGUACCGGGACACGGCGACGGAGCAGUCGGUGGACGUGGCCGGCGAGGAAGACGCCGUGGUCCUCCGCCCCGCCGUCGCGACGGGCGUGGCGCCGUCCAUGGAGGUUGAGCUUGAGCGCGAGCGCGUCCGCCUCGAGGCGGCGGACGACAUCGCGCUGGCGCGCGCGGCGGCCGAGCGGGGCGCCUACGGCGAGGCGGCAAGGAUCCUCGACGCGAGGCGGGAGGCGCUGAGCAGGUCGGCGCCGGCGGCGUCCGGCGACGCCAUGUGCGCGGCGCUGGUGGCGGAGCUGCGGGAGCUGAGCGAGCGCGUGGCGGACGAGCGGGAGUACGCGCAGACGGGGCGCGCGUGCGUGCUCGCCGGCAUGAGCUCGCACGGGCAGCAGCGCGCCUCGUCGGUGCAGCUAGGGGAGCUCCGUGUACGGGUGUUCGUCCGUGUUCGCGACACCGGAGAUGCAGAGGAUGGAGAAGCUCUCGGUGAUUUUGCGUGAACAGCAGCAACAGGCGGCGCCUCCACCGCCGCCACCGCCGCCGACGGCGGCGGCGGCAAGCAAGUCCGGUGGUUCACUGAAGGCAAGGUUCGACGCGGCUGUACCUCGUAUAAUGUCGUUGAGGAAAUACCGCCGUCUUCUGUCACUCAAACGCUGAAAACAUAGGAUGAGAGGGCAGCGGCAAGGUUUCGUUAAGUUGGAUAAUUUCCUGUUUUAAUUUUUUUUUUCGAACUUAGUUUUUUAAAAUAGUUUUAUCCGAACUAUUUAAUAUGCAUUAGCUCACUUAGCAUGGUGCCAUGGUGUUACUAAUAAUAUCGCUUGCGUUGAGAGAACAAAUGGUAGAAUGGUGGAUGGAUCAUCAUCCAUCAGUUGUGUUUUGGAGCUGUUUUGUUGAAUCUGUGGUGUCUGAGUAUUUAGGGUGUGUUUAGUUCACGUUAAAAUUUAAGGUUUGAUUGAAAUUGGAAGGAUGUGACGAAAAUGUUAAAAAUUUAUGUGUAGAAAAAUUUUAAUGUGAUGAAAAAGCUAGAAAUUUGAAGAAAAAAUUAGGAACUAAACCACUUAGACAGAUUAUGCUUUACCUGUGCACGUCGAACUCCUCCGUUCUUUAACCGCAUCGACCCGAACGGCUAGCAGCAUGUCUAUCGUGUGGCAUAGGCACAUAGCCGCAAUACUCGGGGUCUGCUUUGAUCCUGGUAAAAUUUUAUACCCUAUCACAUUAAAUGUUUGGAUAUAUGUAUAGAGUAUUAAAUAUAAAUAAAAAAUAAUUAAUUACACAAAUUACGUGUAAAUUGUGAGAUGAAUCUUUUAAGCCUAGUUGCGCUAUGAUUUGAUAAUGUGAUGCUACAGUAAAUAUUUACUAAUGACGGAUUAAUUAGGCUUAAUAAAUUUGUCUCGCGGUUUACAGAUGGAUUCUGUAAUUUGUUUUGUUAUUAUACUAUAUUUAAUAUUUUAAAUGUGUGUCCAUAUAUCUAAUGUGACAUGCUAAAAUUUUUCACCGUGGAUUUAAACACGGUAAACCACCUCUGACAUUGCUGGUUAAACCUAGGCGUGGUAACGAGCCUAAUUUUUUUUCCUACAAGAUGUAAGGGCUGCGUAAAAAGGAUUUUGGCAAGACUAAAAAAAUUAAAAGGCUGAGAUAGUUGUGAAAAGAAAGGUCCAUGGAUCUGACCCAUUACCACCCCUAGUUAAAUCGCGAAUUUUUUUCAUUUUUAAAUUUUUUUCUUUUAAUAUUUACAGAAAUAAUCUAUCGGUGCAAAAAAUUACAAAAAUAGAUCAUGCCGCCCUAAUGGAGGGUUUUCGACGGCGCCGUCUGCCGCCGUCUGUGAAAAUUGCAUUUAGCCCCUUGCCGCCCUUAAUACAAAGGGCGGCAAGGGGCUAAAUGCAAUUUUCGCAGCUCAAAAGAGCAUUUGGCUGGUACUUUUUGCAUCUGGGUCCCUUGCCUCCCAACUAGAGGGCGGCAAGGGACCCAGAUGCAAAAAGUACCAGCCAAAAAGUACUAUGCCCGGGCUGGCUUUUUUGCAUAGGGGCCCAAGGGUUUUCAUGCAAAAAAACCCUCCCUCUCCCGUCUGCCGUCACCGCCCGUUCCUCCCCCGUUUGCCAUGUCAGCUUGCCGCCCUAGUGGAGGGCGGCAGGGUCUAUUUUUGUAAUUUUUUGCGCCGAUGGAUUAUUUCUGUAAAUAUUAAAAGAAAAAAAUUUAAAAAUGAAAAAAAUCAGAAGUAACCAGUUCAAGUAAUUGGUCCUCAUCAACAUGGGAGGAGGGCAUGUUGUAAUUGGUCUAUACGCUCCUCCAUCACUUCCCUAGUUCCCUGUGGCAUAACCGGGAACCCGUUGGAUAUUUGGUCAUUAUUUGAUAUAUUUUAAUCCAGAAAAUAUGAUACUAAACAUAACUUGUGUAUAAUAUGGUGGUCUAGUGAUAGUGCUAAAUAUGAAUAUGCUAAGAACAAUAAUAACAUCAUUUAGUAACAUGUUUAACAUUGAAAUAAAGAGAACAUACCUAAAAAAUACUUCAGAUCCAAUAGCGGUGUUGGUGUUGAUGUUCCUAAUGUCGGUGACAAAGCAGAGAGCAGUUGCACAAAGAAUGCGUACCCAAAAACUUGAUCGUCCACCUAAGUACUAUAUAUGGUGGAUACACUUCCGGAGGCCUGCUUGUCCCGAAUACCUGUGCGUGCAGGUACUUAGGACCGGGGAUUACCGAAGUAACUUAGAAGCAUAAGAACAUGAUGUAUCUACCAGAGAGAACCAGAACAAGACGAAGGAACAUAGAGCUUAUGUGCGGGAGAAUUCUUUCGGACAAGAGACAGUGUUUUUCUACCUCCUUAGGGAAUGAGAACAGACACCGGUAGUGGAAGAGGUAUAUGUUGUUUACUCCUCUUGAUGGAAGAGAGAGCUUAUGUGCUAGAGAGUUCUUUCGGACGAGAGACAUAGUGUUUUUCUACCUUGUGGGAAAGGAGAACAGCCGGUAGUAGAAGGCGGCAAGGGGUACGUGUUGUUUACUCCUUUUGAUGGCCUCCGCAUGAUAUAGUGGUAACAUCCGUAUGUGAGAAAACGAACAGCCCGCCGCUCCGUCUCCGUCACAUGCCCUGCGUGGGAGUCUGACAAUCCAUCCAUCACCUCACCCAGUUAAUAGGUGCACUCAAAUUAUAGACUAUUUAAGUUGAGGUUUUUUUUCAUUGAUUUUCAAUGCGAUAUUAAUCUGGACAUGGGAUUUAUUAGAAUUAAUCUGGACAUGGUCAUUUUAAUUCUAACAAACCCGACAUUGUCUGCCUGGGACAGAGUAUAGCCUUAGGAUGAAAUAAAAGUGUAUUGAACAUAUGUAAAUAAAACUCUUCAUGAGGUUUUUAGUAAUAAUUGUAUCCUUUCGGAUUAUAUGGAAAAUGACAGCGCAAUGGAUCUGAUCUGGUCAUACGAUACAUCUUGAGCAAGUGUAGAGGGUUGGUCAACUGUGUAUAUAAAUAAUAAUUCGUUGCAUCUAUCCACGAGCCUUUCGUUGCCGGCGACUCCAUCGCUUCGUUGCGUUGUUUGGGCGUGGCCGGAGUUGUUCAACUGCUGCUGUCAACUGUAACCCUCCUGUGAGUUCUUCGAUACCUUUUGAGCUCGGAUUUGUUCGCGACGGUUUUUUGAUUGAGUACGGAUUCAGGCUUGCUUAACUAAAUUGUGUCGGCGUAAAGAGAUCCCGAUCUAGCUAUAUGACCAAAUUAGCUAGUAUAUACUUCGCUUUGCACUCAUAUUGUCUCUGGUCUUGAUUGCUAAAUAAUUUUGGCAGUACCUUUUUAUUUGCGGUGAAAUUCUGAUAGUAGUAUUUCUUUUGCUUCUCGUAGGCAAAACUUAUAUCCUGUUAUCCAUUUUUCACCCAGUUCUCCCUGAGGAAUUAAUCAGGACCAAACAUGGCGGAGGCGAGCAGUAGCACCCACCGGCGUCGAUCGCAAGCUCAGAUCAGCAAGAUAGCCCUUCGGUCAGACGUGUGGAAUCACUUCACCCGUUUCACCGACGGAGAUGGGCGAGCCAAAGCACGGUGUAAGCACUGCCCCCAGGUGCUCGGCGCAGAAACCAAGAGCGGCACGAGUACCCUUUGGGCGCACUGGAAUCGCCACGAGCAACGCGAAGAAAUACCAGGCGAAGAAUCACCACAACAGACACCACCACCGCUGCCGCCUGCUGGCCCUGAAGAGGCGGCCAGAGGAGACCUUGCUCGGAUGAUCGCGUUGCACGGGUACAACCCGUCAGUCGUCAAGGACGACUAUUUCAGAAGCUUCUUGUGCCGUCUCAACCCCGAGUACGAGGUGCCCUCGCGCCUCGCCAUCGAGGAGAUGUGUGAUGCUAUCUUUGAUGAAACAAUGAAGGGCCUCUUCUCUAAACUACACGAUGUUCCUGGAAAGGUCAGUAUAGCAGUGGGUACAGUUAGAACCAUCCGAGGGAAUAUGUUGUAUACAGCGUGCCACUUCAUUGAUGAUCAAUGGAAUCUUCAUAAGAUAAUCAUGGAUGUUUACGCGGAUGUACCUUUUCUUAACUACCAUGGCCCAUUGUUGGGAGUUGAUGAAGUUUGUCUCGAUCGGGAUCUCUCCCGUGAUAUUUCCAUUGACAAAGUUAUGGUUCGUUUUAAAGCGCGUGAGGUUUUACAUAAUCUGUUCAUGAUGAUAUGGGAAACAAAGGGGAACGAUAUUAACCUUGAAUAUGAACUGAGGAAUGAAAUAGAGGAUAACCCAUUCAAAAUCAAUCCAAACAGGAGACAGCUAUUUUAUACCACCUACAUGGACAACGUGAUUCACUCGAUUGCUAGACUGCUUGUUAUGGAUCCAGAAUUCAAAGAUGACUAUAUUAUCUCUGACUUGGAGAAUUUACAUUUGACUAGACAAGAGCGCCAUCAGCUUCUUUCACAACUUGGUCUAGAUUAUGACCUAUGGGCAUAUGAUGAAAAGUGGUACUCGGAAUACUGUUCGAUGGAAGUUCUUCGCAAGAAAGGCUCUGCAAUAACGAAUACAGUAUUUGCAGAACUAUUGUGUAUGCUUUGGGGAGAAAUAUACCGUUCCAUUCAAAGGAUUUCUGCACCCGAUUGUCCCACUUCAUCAAAUCUUUGUCUCAUAGAGUUGUUUAAGCUGAGGGAAGUUUUUAAGCAUCAACUAGCACAGGCAAGUGGAGAGAAUGCAAUUGCUUACAAUGAAUUUAAUGGCUGUUUUGGCGCCGAAGAUCACAAAGAUGUUGCAGACGUUCUUACAGAAGCAAUGGUCGCUAUAGACAAGGCCAUACAAGAUUCCUACCCGGUCUGGUCUAUACCACUUGUACUGGAUCCCCGGUACAAACUCGCACGCACAAAAUUUAUUUUCCAAACAGCCUUUAGCACCGAGGCUGCAGCCGACUACAUCUCUGAGGUAACACGAAAUAUCACUGAGCUAUACUCUGACUAUGUUGAAGAUGAUGAUAGUACCAUGAAUGCGGUGGCAGUUGGCAGCACUGAUCCACUGCAAGAAGCAUGGGAUGAGCACCGCCGAGCAGAAGCCCAAACAGACCUCGACCGUUAUCUGAAAGAUGAGCUAGUCCAUGAUCCAGCACAAGGUUUUGAUAUUCUCAGCUGGUGGAAGGUUCACGGGUCAGUUCUCUAUCCAAGGGUGGCUCAGAUGGCGAGGGACGCUUUGGCAAUGCCCACAUGCAGUAAGCCUUCUGCUGAGCAACUCGCACACAUCACGAGCAUCGUUCGCGGUUACUCCAAGGAAGGAUUCGUGUAAUGUCACAGCGUAUUUAGCAUUGACAAGCUCCGGGUGCAUCGAUGUCAGAUUAUGAUCGAGCUGAUGAUCUUGAGUGCUGAUAUUUAUAUUUCACUUUCCUGUAAUUAACUUUUUGAACUAUGCAAGCUUUGCAGCGCCAAACUCUGUCUGCCUCUGUCAUGUUUCUUCAUUAUAUUUUACUGUUCAAGUUCAACAAUUUUCAGAGUUCUCUGUUUUCCACCGAAAGUCCGAAACCGAGCAACGAGAGAACGAUUUGCACAAUUGAUCCACCUGUAUGCUCAAGUGUUAUUCUUCAUCAGAUACUUCAAUCUGGCUAGCUCCUUGUUAUCUUUUCCCCAAAUAUCCUUGCUAUUGUAGUACGUGUUGUCGACGACGACGACGACGCCAUGUGCGCGGCGCUGGUGGCGGAGCUGCGUGAGCUGAGCGAGCGCGUGGCGGACGAGCGGGAGUACGCGCAGACGGGGCGCGCGUGCGUGCUCGCCGGCAUGAGCUCGCACGGGCAGCAGCGCGCCUCGUCGGUGCAGCUCGCCAAGGGGAGUUCCGUGUACGGGUGUUCGUCCGCGUUCGCGACACCGGAGAUGCAGAGGAUGGAGAAGCUCUCGGUGAUUUUACCGCCGUCUUCUUUCACUCAGACGCUGAGCAAAAUGCCAUAGUGAACUUUUGUGAUGGCUGAAAACAUUGGAAGAGAGGUGGUUGAUGAGACAACAAGAUGUGGUGAAACACUUACGUUUUGUUAGGUUGGAUAAUUUCGUGUUUUGAGAGUCAUCGUUUUAAGAACUUUUAUUUGCAUGUGAGAACAGUUAAAUCCAAACUAUUUAUGUGCAUUUCUUUUUAUACUGGUGUUGCUAAUAUCGCUUGCGUAGUUGCGUUGAGUCUUGAGACAACAACGGUAGCAUGGUGGAUGCUUAAUUUGCGCGGCCAUAUCGCCACGACGUCCCGACUGAGCGUAGCGUAGUGACCACCGUCGAAGACGUAUAGUCGCCAACUCUCCAUAUCAUCGUGGUAGGCUCUCAUACCAUUGUUAACAAAUUAUCCUCUCGCUCGAUUUCGAUGCAAGAACAAUAAAUUGGGAAAAUAAAGAGUAAAUUUCACUUUAAGCCAUCUUUAUUAGCUAAAUUUCCGCAAUAAACUAGAGGUAAAUCAAUAUUUUCACUAACACUUUUCUGUCUCCCCUCCUUUAAUGAAAGGAAAAAGUACGAAUUACCCCCCUCCCCCCGGGAACUAUCGCGGUCGUCCGAAUUACCCCCUGAACCAUAAAACCGGACAUUCUUCACCCCCAACUAUACAAAUCGGACGAAUUACCCCCUCGACUCAAUCCGCGGUGGUUUUGGUCUGCGUGGCGUUCGCAUGGCAGUCCAGUCAACAUUUUCAUUUUUUAAAACAUAGUGAGCCCACCUGUCAUAUAUACACACUCUCUCUCCCCUCUUCCCCCCUCUCUCUCACUCUUCCUCUCUCUCUUCUCUCUCUCACUCUCUCACGGUCAAAGGCAGGCGGGGGCAGCGGCUGAGGGCGGCGGCCUCGGCGUGGAGGUGGCGGCGGCGGGGGCGGCGGAGGCGCCGCCGGUGGUGGUGCUGCCGCCGCGUCGCCGCUCGGCCUAGACAGCGGCGGGCGGAGGCGGCUGGGGGCGGUGGGCGCGGAGCCGAGGCCGCGGCUAGCGGGCGCGGAGGCGAGGCCGGCGGCGGGCGGCGGGCGGCGGGUGGGGGCGAAGGCGGCUGCGGGUGGCGGGCGAGGCGCGGAGGCCGGCGGCGUAAGGCAGCGCACGGGGCAGGAGGUGGACGGACGCCGUCGCGCGGGGGCGCGGGACGCGAAAUGGUGCUCGACGGCGCGCGCAAUGGUGCUCGACGCGGAGGUGGGAACGUCCGAACGUGCUCACCGCCGGCCGCGAAAUGGUGCUCGACAGCGCGCACAUCACGAAGCUCCGUGUGUCGUCCCAUGCCGACGCCGGCGGCGACGGAGACGGUGCGGCACGGCGACGACGGCCCGUCCCCUCGCCGACGAGGAGCUGCUGCUGGCGGACGCCGUGGCUCCUGACACCGCCGUCGUUUCAUCUUAGGCUCGGGAUGGUGGUGGAGAAGGGGAGGUGACGGCGACCUCGGAUGGCUCCACCGCGCAGGACCACGAUGACGACGACGCUGGAGCCGCCGCGGGCUGCCGUGCUCGCCGAGAGAGGGAGAGAGAGAGAGUGAGAGAGAGAGAGGGGAAGAUUGGAGAGAGAGAGAGUAUAUGACAGGUGGGCCCCACUAUGUUUAAAAAAAAUGAAAAUGCUGACUGGGCUGCCACGCGUGCGCCACGUAGACUAAAACCACCGCGGAUUGGGUCGGGGGGUGGGGGGUAAUUCAUCCGGCUUGUAUAGUUGGAGGGUGAAGAAUGUCCAGUUUUAUUGUUAGAGGAUAAUUCGGACGACCGCGAUAAUUCGGGAGGUAAUUCAUACUAUUUCCUUAAUGAAAUCGGCAGAGCUCUUACCCUCGAAAAAGAAGAGUAUCCAUCCUUUACACUUUAUACCAGGCUUAGAUAUUUUGGACUGUCAUGUUGGCUUUGACCCAAGAACGACACGGGUUGUGCUACAAACUUUUCAUUUUUUCUGCCAUCGAGAAUCGACGAGGGCUUCCACUGCAAUCAAAGCCCUAGCCAUGGAGUAUCAAAAUACGGAAUUAUUUUUUUUUAGAAAACCUUUAUCGAUGGAGACGAUCUCUAUUGGAACUUUCCUUUGUAUACAAACUUUUAAUAAAUAAACUUUGCAAAGUUUUAAUGCAUAAAUUUUGUGCAUAGACAUUUUUUGAGAGGAGAUUCCAAACGAAUUAAAUAUAGUCAGAAAAUUUCUAUUCAAAAUCAAUGAAUUUUUAAGGGCAUAUCUAAAAAAUCUAUCGCAAGUUGUUUAAUUUUGGAUGAAAAAGCUUCCAAACGUCUCUAUAUGCUUGGACUGAAAUUAAGUGCAACUAACAUGGUAACUAACUCGAAUUGUAUCCUUUUAGGUGUAUACGAAAAUUGACAGCAACGGAUCCGGUCAGAGUAGAAAAUUCGUGGAAGGGUAGACUACUAGACUUGCAAGGUUGGACGACUGUAUUGCAUCCAUCCAUCCACGAGACUUUCGGUUCCAUCGGCCCAUCGGCUUCGUUGCGUUGUUUGGGCGUGGUCGGCCGUAGUUCUUCAGCUGCAAUCCUCCUGUGAGUUCAUCUUAAUCUUUUGAGCUCGGAUUUGUUCCCAGUUGUUUUUUUUAUUGAUGCCGACGCACUUGUUGGGCUAAAUUGUGUUGGCGUGAAGAGAUCCCGAUCUAGCUAGCUAUAUGCAUGCUUACCCUGUGCAUUCAUAUGGUCUCUGGUCUGAUUGCUACUCCCUCCGUCCCACAAUAUAAGUGAUUUUGAUUUUUUACUUGCAACAUUUAACCACUCGUCUUAUCCAAAUUUUUUUUGCAAAUAUAAAAAACGAAAAGUUGUGCUUAAAGUAUUGUAGAUAAUAAAGUAAGUCACAAAUAAAAUAAAUAAUAAUUUCAAAAAAUUUUGAAUAAGACGAGUGGUCAAACGUUGCAAACAAAAAUUCAAAAUCCCUUAUAUUGUGGGACGGAGGGAGUAAUUAAUUUUGACAGUACCUUUUUAUUUGACGUGAAAUCUUGAUAGUAGUAUUUCUUUUGCUUCUCGUAGGCAAAACUUAUAUCUUGUUAUCCAUUUUUCCACCCAGUUCUCCCUGAGGAAUCUUAUAUUAUAUUAUAUUAUAUUAUAUUAUAUUAUAUUAUAUUAUAUUAUAUUAUAUUAUAUUAUAUUAUAUUAUAUUAUAUUAUAUUAUAUUAUAUUAUAUUAUAUUAUAUACUAAAAGUCCAUUAAACUUCCUACAAACGCUCUCAAGCCACCACGUGAGACUCCUAUAAACGCUAUUAGGCCGCCACAUGGCUCUAUCUAAUCCAACCGUCGAUUUUCACUUAAAUUGGUGGACCCAAUAUUUUAAUCCAACCGUCGAUUUUCACUUAAAUUGGUGGACCCAAUAUUUUAGACCAUUAGAUUAUAUUUCACUUAAAUCGGUGGACCUGAUAUUUUAAACCAUUAGGUUAGAUGUAUUUUGUUUUAAAGAAACUAAUUCCUUAUACUCUGUUACGUAUAUAGGAGUGCCCCCAGCCGACGUAGUACACCCUCUCAUUCUCCCUUUCUUUUUUUCUAAUCUAAUUAAGUUAGUCAAAAGAUAUGCACCAUAAUUUUGAGAAUGCUACUCACAAAUAGAGUCGUUUUUUAUUUUUGAAAAUGCAAGUCUAAUUUAGCUAUAAUUAUUUGUAAGUGAUAUGUAAUUAUAUUUUUAAUUUAUUUAUAUUUUUAUGUCUGUGCACACGUACAGGACGGGUGGGUGUGGGCCUUCCUUUUCUCAAUUUUUUGAAGAAAAAUCUAAUCAAAUGGCAGAAAUUAACCAUAUAUAUGGUUAUAUAUGUGCGCGUCAUCUAUUAGAUCUACUAGCAAUAGGCACGCGCUACGCUGCGUGUAAAUAAAGAAGGAAUCAAAAUAAGCUUAAGGUAUUCAAACAAACUAAUGAGAUAUAACACAUAUCACAAUUCUAUUGUAACAUUUAAAUGUUGUAAGACAUCGUUACAAUUUAUGAGAAAAAUACCAUUUCAACUCAACAUGGCUGAAAAUUCCAAAUCGUAUAGACCUCUGAUUGUUUUUGUUUACUGGCUUAUCAACAAAUUGGAAAGAGAAUUAGAUCAUGGCCCAAACAACCUACUUGGAAAUGGUACUAAAGCAAUUAAGUUUCAGAUAAACUUCACCUAUAGUGGAAAAUGGGCAACACAAAUCCUUAAACAAUCAUAUAGCUCAUUAGCUUGAAUGGCCAAGCAACUAAAUCAAAAUCAAAAUCAAAAUAUAAUUGCUUCAUCCAUUUACAUAAAUAUGGAGUCAAAUUGUGACAGGCGGCAAUCACAGAAACAGUUCCACGACUAACAAUAUGUCAGAAUAUCUUAAAGCAUGUUGUAUAGGAUGGCAAAACCUUAUUUCAUUGCACCUAUGGACUAACUUGAAACCCAGUAGAGUUCUAAUCAAAUUUGCAGCUUCAACAAUGUCAUAUAUAUAAGUAAUUCGUAGGCCAACAAAAUAAGGCUUGGGUAAUUCUCACUUACCAAUAGUACAAUACUAACAUCUAUGACAUUUGACGGAUGCUUGGAAUACAGGAUGGUACUAAAAACAAUUAUUGCAGAGGAGAUAAUGUAGUUGAGCUCAACUGCAUCUUUUGCCAAAAACAAAUAAAGAUAUCUUAUCCUCCAUAAUCUCUUUUGGUUGUAUCUGCCAAGGCAAAAUAUCAAUUAAUCUACACCAUAUACAAUUAUUAUGUAUUAUUUUGAAGGUUAACAUUGUAUUAACUCUAUUACACAAAAACAUUUUAUUAACACAAUAUUAUUUGCAGAAAAAAUGAAGUAAAACAAUUGGCAGUGUUAAUGAUCUGACAUGUCAGAAUGUGGUAUGCGGGUGCACACGAAAGAUUUGGUGUUAAAUCUUUAAAUCUGAAUGCAGGCUAACUGCAGUAAAAUGAUAGUCUUAAUUUAUACUCCCUCCGUCUCAUAAAAACACUAUGUCCAUAUUCAUCCUAGGAUUUGGUUUUUUAUGGGACGGAGGAAGUACAAAGCAAAAUGUAGGCAAUUAAUUGUAUUGCGCAUAGUACUAUGUGAUAAUGGAACUUUGUGUAAAGGGUAAAGAUACAAUAGUGAGUAUGGACAUGAGCAAACUGCAAACUACCAUCCCAAAUCCCUGACUUGGCAGAAUGUUAUUUUUAGAAGAAAAUACCUAAAUUUUGAGGUGCAUUAAAUUACGCGAACCUUAAAUUAUACAAACCUGAACACAAUUCAUGAUAAUUUAAAUGUAGAAGUAAGCAAGUAAAUAGCAUUUCAAACCAUGGUCUAAUAAUCAAAUGUAGAAGUAGGCACGACGCAUAUGUGAUUACCCAACUGGAAUAGUAUCAACUGACUACUUAGGAAAAGGGAAAAAAACAGUUUAAACGAUGUUGACAAAAUGAAAUAGUUAAAUGUAAUAUUAAAAGAUGCAGAUUGGAAGCUGUAACCUGAAGCAUAGCUGCAUUAUACUUAUUUUGCAACAUUGAAUAUGUUGUGGACAUAACCAGAAGCAAACUGGCAUAACUGGUGACUUGCAACAUAGAAAAUUUAUAUGCAUAGAGUAUUUUCAGUGCUGCUAGGACAUUCCAGAGGCCUAAACUCUUGUGUCAAGGCAGAGGAGAAAAUUAGAUGCUUGCACUCUUCAUCAUUUACACAUUAAAUUAUAAAAAUAUCAGGCAUGCUGAAAGUUUUUUUUUUUUUGGCAGAAUGUAAGUUUGUAGGAUAGUAUUAAAUAACUACCUGUCAGAAUGUUUUGUUUAUGAAUAUGUGGCAGCAGGUUGAGUUGUCUGAAACACCACCAAGCAAUGAAAAAACAACCAUAAGCUUCAUUUCGUCUAUGAUCUUAAUUACCAACUUUCUUUGUUGAACUGGACCAACACAACAAACCACAUAAAUCCGGUGAAGUAGUAAUAAUUUUGUUGCAACAAAUUAGACAUCAAUAAAGGAUUUGCACACCGUCUAUCGAAGUGUUAUGCUCCCAGUAUCAGAGCUAGGGCUUUUGAUGUCAGUACUGGGCUAUUGGCUGGUACCUAAGCACUGCUAAUAAAAAGAAUAUCCUUCCAUUGCAUAUCCUGUUUGUAGAAUGCUCUCAUAUAACAUAUAAUCUUUAUACUUAUAGCCUUGUAGUAAUACCUAGCAUGGUUUUCUUUUUUCUUCCUGAUGUCAUUCUAUCAAGGGGUGUCAUACAAUGCAGCAACAAAACCAAUAACCAUGGAACUUCUGAUAGCUAAAUUCAUAUGAAGUAAUCUGAACUCAAGAAAAACUCAACAUAAUCUAAAUCUCGCAGCCCUGCUUAAGAGAGGAGAAAGCUCGAUAGCUUGCUCAGCAUGACGGUAGAUGCGCAGCAUGGAAGUCGUCCUCUCUAUAAUCUGUGACCUACACCUCAUCCUAGCCCAUCAGUUUCUCCACAGAACCUAAGGCAAGAUGGGGGAUUAUGUAAAAACACCAGCAAACGCAAUGCAAAUGCUCAAUGGCGAGUCAAAACCAUUGCCUUACCUUAUGGAUUUUGUGCUAAAUGUAUGCACAAAACGAUUGUGGUUGAAAGGGUAUCAAAAGGAUUCACCAGAAAGGAAACCAAUGGUCGCAAGUGACUCCAGUGAUCGGAUCAACCAGUGGGGAGGCCGAGACCAUCGAUUCCGCUGACCCCCAAACCGGAUCUGUAGCUCACCGAUGACUCCAGUGAUCGGAUCCACCAGUGGGGAGGCCGAGACCAUCGAUUCCAAUGACCCCAAACCGGAUCUGUAGCUCACCGAGGAUAGGGAGAGGAAGAGGAAGGCGGUAGUGGUCUGGAGAUGAGAGGGGAGAAGAGGGCAGCGAUGGCUUGAUGGCCUCGUGACCCUUCCUUCCUCCGGAUGGCUAGAUCCACUGGCAAGGAGGGCGGCGCCAGCGCAACGACAAUAGGAGGAGGGUGAGGCGACGAUGGCACAAAGCGAGGGGAGGAAUAGCCGAGGAGGGCGAGGCGGCGCGCGUGAGAGAGGAGUGCGAGGCCGGGCUGGGCUGAGUGCGGCUAGGGUUUU